rnacentral:lncRNA from 1 species
UUUUUUCUGUGGCGGAGAUGGAAUCUCACCAGCCUAACGAAAGGUAUAAACCCACUUAAUUAGAAAGGAUCAGCCACGUCUUUGAUUGAUUAAAUAAUAGAUUUUUCUUGAAUUAGAUCACAUGUUGAAAGUAAAUUACGAUAAAGUGUUUUUUUUUUUUUUUGAAAUGAACAUUAUAAAGUUAUUUCUUUAUACAUAUAGUUGGAUUCGAGAAUUUAUUAAAAAGAUAUCAAGAUAUGUAGGUAUUUUUGCAUACAUAAUAAUAUGACUAAAUAUGUAUGUGCUCAUCUAAAAAUGGGGAGGCAUGAUUGACUUAAGGCAUAAUAUUUUCUAGAUAUGCUUUCUUUUCAAAUCUACCAAGUGGAAAUUGAUUUGCAUAGUGAAAAAUAAAUAAAUAAACAAGAAUAUGACUAGAUUAUAUUCUACAAAUAGUGAAAAAGACCAAAAAAGAAGAAGUUAAACUUAAUAUUAUGGUGAUGAAUUUUAAAUACAACGUCCAAACUUAAUAUAUAUGAUUCUUUCAACAGAUGAGUCCAAAAAACUGAAAUAUUUAUUAAAAAUAUAUAUAUUUACCAAAUAAUUAGUAUAAGAUUUAAAAAUUACAGCAACAUGUUUUCCUUAACAUUCAUUAAAUCAUAUAGUAAAAACUAAAAAGUCUAUGAUAAUUAUAGUGCAGUAUUCUCGUUUAGCAUUAUUAGAGAUUAAUUCUUACGAAAAUUUUAUUGUGCAACUCCNNNNNNNNNNNNNNNNNNNNNNNNNNNNNNNNNNNNNNNNNNNNNNNNNNNNNNNNNNNNNNNNNNNNNNNNNNNNNNNNNNNNNNNNNNNNNNNNNNNNNNNNNNNNNNNNNNNNNNNNNNNNNNNNNNNNNNNNNNNNNNNNNNNNNNNNNNNNNNNNNNNNNNNNNNNNNNNNNNNNNNNNNNNNNNNNNNNNNNNNNNNNNNNNNNNNNNNNNNNNNNNNNNNNNNNNNNNNNNNNNNNNNNNNNNNNNNNNNNNNNNNNNNNNNNNNNNNNNNNNNNNNNNNNNNNNNNNNNNNNNNNNNNNNNNNNNNNNNNNNNNNNNNNNNNNNNNNNNNNNNNNNNNNNNNNNNNNNNNNNNNNNNNNNNNNNNNNNNNNNNNNNNNNNNNNNNNNNNNNNNNNNNNNNNNNNNNNNNNNNNNNNNNNNNNNNNNNNNNNNNNNNNNNNNNNNNNNNNNNNNNNNNNNNNNNNNNNNNNNNNNNNNNNNNNNNNNNNNNNNNNNNNNNNNNNNNNNNNNNNNNNNNNNNNNNNNNNNNNNNNNNNNNNNNNNNNNNNNNNNNNNNNNNNNNNNNNNNNNNNNNNNNNNNNNNNNNNNNNNNNNNNNNNNNNNNNNNNNNNNNNNNNNNNNNNNNNNNNNNNNNNNNNNNNNNNNNNNNNNNNNNNNNNNNNNNNNNNNNNNNNNNNNNNNNNNNNNNNNNNNNNNNNNNNNNNNNNNNNNNNNNNNNNNNNNNNNNNNNNNAAUAUUAAUUAGUAAUAAAGAUAAAAUAGGUGGUUAUUAAUAUUAAUAGAUUUUUUGGGUUUUGGGGGGGGGUCAAAGAGUAAAUGUUAUGAGUUGUUUUCUCAUGUGUAUAGCAAUUAGUGUUUAAAAUAAAAUGGAUUGGCAUCAAUUAUAGAUUUAGAGCCUCAAAUCCGAACACUUUGAAGUUGACACUUGCUGACGCCCAGUUAGGUUUUAAAAGUGCUAAUGACAUGUUUCUUUGAUUAAUAUAUAACAUCCAACCUUUUUUUUGUUUGUUAUGUUAUGGAUUCGUGUGGCUCUCCUUAAUCGUAAAAGAUUAUAUGCUAAUCCUUUCAUGUUUUCCUAUAACUCACAGUCCCCUAAUCCACAAACACAAACCAAAAGAUAAGUUUAAUUGGUGAUAAGAUUAAAUAUGUUGGUUUGUAAUCAUAAUAUAUAAUGGUUAAUCAUAUAAUACAAAUAUGAAAAGCAGAAGUACGAGGCCUUUAAUUUUAUUUUAUGAAUAUGGACGGAUAGAGACGUAUUAUAAAAUACUACAACUCUUCUUAUGGUUACAAAAUAUGAGAAAGCAACUCUACUAGGAUUAUAAAACAUUCUUCUUAUCCACACCUUUAGUCAUUAAUUAUAAUAUAAUCCUGCAACAAUUAUAUGAUCUAAUUCUAAUCAAUGUGUCUUCAGAAAAAUUAUUCCUGAAUAUUAUUCGGUCGGGUCGAUACGUAUACGACGCAAUAUAUAUACAUUACAAAAUGGCUUACGUAAUCUUAAUAAGAUAGGUUUAACAAGUGAUUAAUUAAUUAAUGUCGGAUGGUAAAGAGUGAGUGGAUCACUACCUUAGUUUGAUUGCUUAAUACUUUGUUUGUGGAGAAUAAUGUUGAGUUUGGAUCAAUAACACUAAACCAAUAGCAUAUAAUUAACAGAGAUAGGAUUACAAACCUUAAAUAUAUAUAAAUAACUAGCUGUUGGCGCGCAAGUUUUAUAGAUUUAUUUUAUUUUUUAUUAUUGUUUUUUUCUGUUUUAACAUUAUUUUAGUUUUUACUAUUGUAAUUUUUGUUAUUCCUUUUUUAUAUGAAUUGUUUUUUUUUAAAAAUUUUUUGUAUUAGUUUAGUAUUUGAAAUGUUUAUUGUUAUUUGCUAUUCGUCAGAGGUCGAUGGUAAGUUUCUAUGAUAUUUCUCUUUUUUGCUAGAUAUGAGAUUAGAGAGAGAAGGUUUCUUGUGUCUGGUUUUGAUCUAUUCUAUGAUAGAUGUUCUAAGAUCUGGUUUGUUUUUAGUUUUUUUCCUAUACUCAUAUUUGUUUACUCCGGCCAAUGGUUUCAAAAUCGGUGUCAUAUGCAAAGAGUUGCUCUUGUAAACAACGGUUCUAAUAGAUGUAUUCCCUAUUCUGUUUAACUAUCCAGUUCCAAAUUUAUGUAUCCGACUUUUUCCGAUUUUUCUUAACCGGUUUGAUUGUUGUGUAACCUUUGGGCCUCAAGUCCAUGCCCUUUUGAGUUUAUUAAUAAUUUUUUUGAAAAAAAAUUGAUGAUGUAGCCGAUUAUGUGGCGGAAGGAGAAGAGAGAAAAUAUAACUUUAUAUAUAUAGAUUAAUAGAGAUAACGAAAGAAUAAAUUAGUAAUAAAUAAAAAAUUUGUAAGACUUUGUAAAGUGGUGACUGGUGAAAGUGCAUCAAAAAUAUAAAAGUGUUCUUCACACAACUCUUCUUUAAGAUCUUUAAAUGAUCAUGUAGUUGAAGCUUAGAAUAGGUGAAAGCAUCACACUUUAAUUGUUAGUGCAGUUGGAAUUUUCUUGCUACAGGAAUGAUCCAAUGAAGCAAUGCUCCAAAGUGACUCCUUAUUGUGAUUUUAUGGCACAUCAAAGUUACAAUCCCAUCUUUUAUCGAUUCUUUUCAUUUGGUAAACUUUGUAAGAAUAUAUUCUGAUUUCUUGCAUCAUAUCAACAAAUUUGUUAAUAACCUUGAGCUUUAAUUUUUUUUUAAAUGAAAAAAAAUCUUUAUAGAAUUUACGAGGGAUGUCAAUUUUUGUAAAGCUGAAAUGAAUUUUUGUCGUUGUCUAAUGUGUUCCUACUAAUUACGUGAUUCUUUUGCUCAUUUUCUUAUAUUUUUCAGAUAAUCAUAUCUUCCUAUAAAUAGAAACUUAUAUGUAGUUCUAGUGAUUUUAGGCUGUUUAAAGUUGUGGAGCCUGAUUGUUUGUUGGUGUGUGGAGUGGCAAUUGUUUUUCUAAUUUUAGUCUAAUUUAAAUUAACGGUAUCUAAAACAAAAUCUGAGACUUAAUAACAAUAAACUCCAGUUUUAUAUAAUAAAAUGUAUAAAAAAUUGUAUGUAAAAUAUUUAUUUUUAUUUUUCUGAACACAAGAUGUGAAAUCUCACGUAAACUUUAAUACCAUAAAUUAAACGAGAAAAGAAGAAGAAAAGAGGAAAAAAUUGAAAUAUAUAUUUGUCUCAAUAUAAUACUAGACGAAAAACAUGUUAUCAUGUUGACCCAAAAAGUAAUGUUAUCUUUCGAUAGCAUAUUAAUUAUAGUAUUUUAUUCAUCUAUAUACUAAUUACUGUGUUAACAAGAGAUGGCACUAAUCAUUCUAAUUCGACAUUUUUGUACUUAUUUCUUCAUUUUGAUGAUUAUACUAAUUAUGGAGUGAUCGAUUAACGAGUAUAGAAAUAAAGCAUGUAAAGAAAUGGUUAUGUCUAUAGAAGAAUUAGUACUUUGUGUAUUGGCCACGAGGGGGGUCACUAGAAAAUGUUUGGGCGACCCACUAAUUACAAAAAUUUCAAGACUCAAUUAUCAAAUUAGCCACUAAACUCCAAUUCACAGGACACAAUAUUAUCAUAUAAUGUCAAGGAGAAUGUAUGUGUCUGAAAAUUUUGAAAUUGAAGAAAGAAUAGGUAAAACAAAAGCAUCUGAAUAAUUAUUUUCCUUAUAUAGAUAUUUCCCAAAGUGAUAGAUUUGACGUAUGUUGUAUCAGCCACAGAAUCGAAUGUGUCAUUGAUGGUCAGAUACAUCUUUCUAAAAAAAAAAAAAAAAAAGCUAUAGAUCUCUGCGUACAUUUCAUCCUACGGUCAAGUCACCAUGCAUGAAUUAGCUAAUAACAAAAUUUUUAACUUUAAAAACUUGUAUUCCAUUAUUUAGUUCCAAUUUUAUAGAAAUGGAGAUUAUUAGUAUUAAUUUUUUUAAGAAAUCGUAAAAGUAAUAAAAUCAAGUUCCGUCAAUAAAUUGUGAAAUUACGUCAAAUACGUCAUGAUGAUUAUGAUCUUUCACUCUUCCACCACUAUAACUUACGAAUUAUAGUAUUUUUUUUUCUUCUUAUUAUAUGCUCUAGAUGAACAUAUUAUAUAAUCCACAAGACCCACUUCUAAAUUAUUCACUUCACUUUUUCUAACAUUAUAAAACCCUUCUCUUCCCCACUUCUUCUUACUUCAAACUAAACUUCCCAACUCUUCACACAAUAAAAUCAUACAAACUCUUAUAACAUACUCAUAUAAACCAAACUAUAAAACCAUCUUUUACCAAAGAAAAAAAAACUAUCAAACCAUGAUUCCGGCGGAAAUCACCGGAUAUUUCCAAUAUCUAUCGCCGGAAUACAACGUAAUAAACAUGCCUACAUCUCCAACCUCUUCCUUAAACUACCUAAACGAUAUGAUCAUCAAUAACAACAACAGCAACUAUUCCUCAUCAUCCAACAGUCAAGAACUCAUGAUAAGCAACAACAACUCAGCUUCAGACGAAGAUCAUCACCAAAGCAUCAUUAUACUCGACGAGAGGAAACAGAGAAGGAUGCUUUCAAACAGAGAAUCCGCAAGGAGGUCGAGGAUGAGGAAACAGAGACAUCUUGACGAACUCUGGUCUCAGGUGAUAAGGCUUCGCAACGAGAACAACUGUCUUAUUGAUAAGUUGAACCGUGUGUCGGAGACUCAAGAUUGUGUGUUGAAAGAGAACUCCAAACUCAAAGAAGAAGCUUCUGAUCUCCGACAGCUUGUUUGUGAACUGAAAUCUAACAAGAACAACAACAACAGUUUUGCAAGAGAGUUUGAAGAUAACUAGUAUACAUGUCUAUGUCUCAUCGGAGUGUCAGAUAUUUUGAGUUUGUGUCAUUCUCUGUAUCAAAUCAUGAAAAAGAUCGAGGGUGUUUUGGGGUUUGGUUGUUUCUCGAAUAUAUUAUAUAUGUAUUGAAGUUAAAUAAUCUAACUUAGUUCUUGAACAUAUUCAUGUUCUCUAAUCUCUUAUAUAUAAUCUGAUUGGUAUAAAUUACACAAUUAUGCAGAAUCCGAAUAUAUUUAUUGAUCCAUUUUGCAAAUUCAUUUAGAUUUAUGUCAUUUAUAUCAUAAUUUAUGUGACUUUUUCGUUGAAUCUAUAUUAAUCUUACUUAAAACCCUAUUAGAAUAAAAAUUAAAUAUAUGAAGUGUAUAUAUAUAUUAUGACAAUAGAACUUCGAACACGUAAGAGCUUUUUAGAACAUAAAGAGACGAAUAUAUAUAUAUAUAUAAUGAAACACAACAAAUAGUGAUCAUUAUGUGUAUAGUAGUUUGCAUAAUAUUACCAUCAUGAUAAAAUAGUAUUAUAGAAUAUAAUGUAAGUUUAUGAUGACGACCUCUCUAUUAACACAAUUUUUGUUAGUUUCUGUUCGCCGCAUAAUAAUAACACUUGCAUUGAGCAUCAUUUGAAAAAUUAUGACAACCAAGAAAAAGAAAAAAACUAAGAUUGCUAAAAAUGAUUUUUAAUCAAAUACUUGAUCAUUAGUUUUUUUUUUCUUGUUUCUUAUCUUAAAUCCAUUUAAAGCAUCACUCCGAGUGUGACGAACCCAUCAAGAAUGUUAUCUUGAAUUUCACCUGGCGUAUUACAAUUAUGUAAAACUUAUAUAAUAAAUUUUUAUGAAAAACAAUUCUAGUAACUUUUGACCUACUUUACAAAUGGGUAAAUGGUAAUAAUAGUCUUUAUUUAUAAACUGUAUCUAUUUUUCAACCACAAGUUCUUUUUAUAUAUAUUUAUCCUUUUGCAUUAAUGCUAUUGACUAACCAAUAUUAACCACAAGUGAAAAGAUAUCAUCCUCGAAAUCACAGCUUAGGAUUUGCUCGAAUUAUCUAGAGAACAUUAUUAUAAGAAUCGGUUUUGGACCUAUAAACAGUAAUACAGUAGACACCAUAAUCAUCAUUCUAUUCAAAACGUCACUCAAUAUUAAAAAUGAUUCCAAAGAAACUAUUUGAUGACCCAUUACGAUAAAUUGUCUCUAUUCAAGAUUUAUUCAAUUAAAAGUUUACUCAUACUUUGUAUAUAAGAAAAAAAAAAUGGUUGAUCAAUGAGUAUAAUAAGUCUGAAAUGAAAAAAUACACAAUUUACAAAAAGGGAACAUAAGAAGACAAAGAAUGGUGGAGUCUCUGGUGAUAGUGCAUGCCAACAAUUUCAAACCAUAGAGCGUAUUCGAGCAGCCUACUAAAGAGAGAAAACAAAAAAAAAUAUACCAAAAGUGUUUGUGUAAUGCGUAACGUUCCGAGAGCUUUCAUAUAAAUAUGGAAAAAAAAACGAAAUAAUAAUGUGAUUAUAUAAACAAGUAGGUGUCGAUAAAGUAGUUAUUGAGUUCUUAAGGUCACUGUCGCAAAGUUACUAGUUUAAGUGUUUAGCCAUAUUAGAAACGAAUGAUAUACUUUGUUUUAAACGUGAUAGCAACGAUAUUAUUUGGUCUCGGAUAUCAAAAAGACAAAAACAAUUAUGGGUCAAAGGUAUAUAAUUUUUUUAAUUUCUCAGAUAUCAUAUUUGGAAUGUUAUGAGAGUUCGUGCAAUACUUUAGUUUUGAGAUCCUUUCUCAGUUAGCCUCGGACAGUUUUUAAUUUUUCUCAAACGAGCUCUCAUAACGUUCCAAAUAUGAUAGGCACCCACAAGCGUCUUCUCUUAACUCAUUCUCUUUUGCUCUGGUUCCUCACGUAGAGGUGGUUGUUGCUUCACCAUUGGAGGCCGAACGUGCAGUACAUGACGCGGAGUAUGGGAAAACGCUGAAAAUGCUUAUCACCUAUGAAAAAAUCACUGAAAAGAUCCGGUCUGUUUUUUUAGUAUGUAAAUCGGAUUAACCCAAACCAGCUAAACCAGCUAAACCAACUAAACUAGACUAAAUCAAUUUAAACCAUCUAAACUAGCUAAACCGGUUCUAAUCAAUUUAAACAAAAAAAUUAUAAAUAAACCAAUCCAAGCAACAAAUAACCAGUGGAAGCCUUAAACAAACAAUCCAAAUAAUUCAAUUGCAUUAAACCAGCAUUUAAUCCAUAACCAAACCAAUCAUCAUCUAGAAAUAUAUAUAACACCCUAACAAGUUUCUAAAUUCCAGACUAACAUCAUAACAAUUCAAACAUUAUUCCAAGACAACCAACGAGCUCCUAAAUCAUCUUCCUCUCCUCGUCAUGAUUCCACGGAUAACACUUUUGCUUUACCUACAUCACAGAAAAAGAUGCAUAAAUAUUUCCAUGUAAAUUUACUAUUAUAACCCUAUUAAAGUAUUAGAAGAGAUUUAUUAAUGUUCAGUUCAUUUUUUCCUUUUUCUUUGCCUUGUGAAAUAACCAAGGAAAAAGGAAAAGUUACUAUUUCUUUAAUUAUAUUAAAUUUCAAAAUAUUACGUAUUAAAUUUGUCAUCAUAAUUGUCUAAUCUUAUUAUAUAAACCUUGGUUUACAAAGUCAGCCAUUAACAAGAUCGGGACAUGUGUAAAUUAUAAACGAUAAGAUGUUGACACGUGUUGAUUCUAAUAUUAUUAAUAUUUAGAUAAAAUAGAAUAUUAUUAACCCUAUCGAAAAACGAAAUAUAUUAAAAGAUUAUUAUAAAUAAUUAUAUAUUAAAAAUUUAUUAAUAAAAUUAAACAAAUAACAUAAUUUCAGUUAUGUCAAUUUGGUGUAUUAAUAAUAUAGGGAUUUAAAAUGUAUAAUUAGUUGUAGGUUUUACAAUUAUAAGGGUUAUAUGGUUGUUUGAGUUUAUAAAUGCGCAUUAUAGUUUAGAUUUUAUAAUUAAACGAGAUUAUUUAUUAGUUUGGAUUUAUAAAGAGGAGUGAGGUUUAGGUUUUACAAUUAAACAAGGUUAUUUAUCAGUUUGGGUUCAUCAAAGAGAAUUAGGAUUUACAUUUUACAAAUAAAAUAUAUUUUGAGUUUAACUAAAUAAAUAUUUUUAUUCAUGAUUUUUAUUUUAUAAUAUGUUAUAUUUGUUUAAUUUUUAAUUUAUGUAUGAAUGUAUUAUGCCAUUCAACAAUUUCAUUGUCUAAAACAUAAGGGUGAAUAAAAGAUUUUCGAAAAUAAUAUUUUUAGCUUAAAUUAAAGAUAACAAAAGUUCAAUAUUAUUCGUAAUAUAAUAAUUUUAAAAUAUUUUUUAAAAUAUAUAUUUAGUUUUUUAAGAUUUGUAUUUGAAAGAUUUUUUAAUGUUUUCUUCAACGAUGCUAUAAUUUAUUUUAGAAUCUUUAUGUUUAUUUGCGUUGUUUAUAUGAACUUAUUUACAAAUGACUAUAUUUGUAUUUUACAUCUUAUUUUAGAUUGAUGUUAAUUUGAAAGAACUUUACCAUCAUAUUAAAUAAUAAUUAAUUAAUUUUCAUAGUCUGAGAAUGAUUUUUUUAAAAAUUGAAAGUUAAGAAAGAACAAUUUUUACAAAAUGGUAUAAUCAUGUUUUAGAGGAUAAUUGCCAAAUUAAGAUUUUUUAAAAUAUUUUAGCAAUAUUAUGAAUAAUGGUGAAUAGCUCCCAAAUGUUUGGUGAUUGUCAGUUUGACAUUACUAGAUUUUUAUAAUUAACGUUUAAUAACGAAUUUUAAGAUACAUAUAUACACGUUUAUUUGAUACUUCAAACCAAGUAAAAUUUCUUUCCAAAUGAAAAUAAUUUUUCUUAUUUUUUCGAAAAAAAGAUCUGGAAAUUAUUUUUUAAUUUUUAAUAAAUUUUAAUUUUAAAUAAAGAUAACCCGUCCAUCGGACGGGUACUAAACUAGUAUAUAUAGAUAAUUGUGUUUGACGUUUCAUGUUUUCCUUAUUUUAUACCAUCAACGGGUCAAUAUAAGACUAAUUUGUUUUUAUUUUUGUUAAGAUUUCAAGAUGUUUUUGUAAAGCAUGAAAAAACAAAGAGUAUUUGAAUUAUAUAUUAUAAGAUCUGAAUUAAACUAGGUAAGGCGGGAGAUGAUAGUAAGAUAGUUUGUAGUUUGAUGACAUAAAAUUUGAUUGUUAGUUAUUUACACGAGUAUAAUCAAGCACAUCUUAAUUAACUUAAUUAGUUUACACAAAUAUUUGACUUUAGGAAAAAGUUUUUACACAUUUUAUGUACAGUUCAUAUAUUUCCAAGUCAUUUCUAAAUUACGGAGUUAUUGGAAGAAUGAUUUUUAAAAUUUGUUAGAGUUUAAGAUUCUAUUGUUAUUGGUUUAUGGAUUUUUAGAUUCUUAAUAAAGUAUUUUGUUAUUGGUGUGUUGAUUUUGUAAUUCCAUUUAAAAUCUUUUGUUAUUCAAAAAAUUGAGUAUUUAUUGAUUUUACAAUUCUAUUAAACUCUAGUGUUAUUGGAAAGAUGAUUUCCUACAUAUUUGGUCAUUAACAACUACUUUUAAAAUAUUGCACUUAUCAUAAGGAUUUGUAAAAUCUAUCAUAUUAAGAAUCUAUUAAACUCACGAGCAUAGUUUGCUAGUCUUAGCUGCUGAAGAGGUUCUUUACUCUUUAAGCAGAGAAGAAAUAGUAACGCCAAUUGUUGUCACUAUUGACGAAUGUGAGCUGUUUCCAGUCCGGCCUAUUCAUGGAUGUGCCUGUCUAUCCUCAUCUUGCCCAUAAGUUAGAGAUUAUGGUGUACUCGUAUUAUACGGAGUGUUUUCUUUGAAAAGUUGGUCUUAAAAGGUGUUAGAUUACUUUCUUAGUCUACCCUAUGUUAGGCAGUUGGUUUUUUUCUCUUAUUCUCUAUUUUAGUGUUUAUGUUACACGUUAAUGUAACAGGAUAUUAAGGAUUUCAAGUUUUUUGGUGUGUCAAUGGAUCAAAGAAAAAAGAAUUCAAAGACUUCGAUUGAGAAAAGCUUUCUCUGUUUUUAUAUAAAUCAAAACAACCGUCCUUCACCUUAUAUAGCUUAAGAGUAUCUAUCUAUACUCUCGUGAAACAUAAAUCCUAGAGAUAUAUUCUGUUUAUUUUUUUUAACAAACAUGUCUUUUUGUAAAAGACAUUAUAUUUUGAUAAAUACCAUGUUAUUCAGUUCAAUAUAACAUGUGAAUUUUAUAUGUUACACGCUAUUUUUCAAAAUUUCACAAAAACUAUCUCAUUUGUGUUUUCAUCGCCGAGCUUUUUUUCCUCUUUCUUUCACACUCCAAAAUAGAAAGAGGAUAAAUUUGUCAUUUUACUCCUUAUAAAACGUGGGUCCAUGGCUAUUUUACAAUUAGAAAAAUGUUCCAUGGCUAUUUACUUAAUUUUUGUCUAAAAUUUGGCUAUUCUCUAAUAUUACCCUAAAAAUUAUCCUCGUAAAUGCAAAAGUAAAGGCAUGAGGUCACAUAUUAUAUACUGAAUUUAAAAGUCCCCAAUUUUGAGAAAGUUACUUUCAAUCUCUUAUAUACUUAUACAUCCAUUAGGGAUUAUGAAAUGUAGAUCUCAAAAACUUUUAAAGGGAGGAUUAAUUGGUAGAAUAUCAUUGAUAUGUAGGGUGAAAUAUUUUAAAAUACAAUAUUUUUUUUAAGCUUUGUUAGAAGAGAAUUUUUGAGAAAUACUUCUUUUGGUGUACUCUUUUUCAAAAAUACUCCUUUUACCUAUACAUCUAAAAAAAAAAUAUUCCUAUUUAAAUAUGAUAAAUUAUAAAAUUUUAUAUGGUUUAUAAGAUACGUCUAUAUAAUAACUACUACUGGGAGAUUCAUGCAAAUAAUUUAUAACAAUCUAAAAGGUUUUAAAUAUAUUUUACAAGUUUUACAAGGUUUUUAAAUUUUUUUUGGAAGAGUUUAUAAGGUUUUUAUAAGUUAUUUUUACGCUAUUUCUGAAAAUAUAGAAAAGUUUUUAUAUAUAUAAAGAUAAUUGAUGUGUAUUAUAUUUAUAAGUUUACACACAUAUUAUGAUAAAUUUCAAUAUUUUAAGUGAGUUUUUUUAUAAAGUUUUAAAAUAGGAUAUUUUUGAAAAGUAGUAUUUGAAAAAUGGUAUUUUUGAAAUUCUCCUUUGUUACAAAUACCGCCACUGAUUUUUUUCAUUAAUACCACAAUUUUUUUUGUAUAAAAUAAUCAUUACAAACAAAACUAAAAUGGAUAACUUUACAAGUUUAAAAUUUUAAAUGCAACAUAUAUGAUUAUAUAUAUAUGUAUAUCUCUAUAUAUAUUUUUAUUAAUUUUUGUAUAAUAUGAUGAUUCAUAACAAUUACGAACAAAAUCAAACAAAGAUGAUAAGAUAAUUAUAAUCUUGAAUCUUAAAAGAAUCUUCUAAAUAUCAAUAUCAUUAAUUGUGAAAAAUAAUUAUCAUUUUAUAAUUAAUGUUAAUUUUAUUUUGCUUUGGUUGUAUGGAUAAUAAAUAAUUUAUUAUUGUUAUUUGGAUACAUGAAUAUAAUUAAUAUUAUUCUCUGCAAAUAUUUACCAAAAUAAAGGUUUGUUUUGAGAAUUUAUUUUCAAAAUAUUAGUAUACAUUGGUUAAUUUUUAUUCAAAUAUUUCCAAAAACAAUCUAAUUAUCCAAAAAUAUUCAAUAAUAUUCGGAUUUACAAUUAUAAGUUUGGCUGUUUAUAUUACUACAAAUAUAAAUGUAACUAAUAUUUUAAAAAUUUUGGAUUUUGGGGUUUGAUUCGAAUUUUAGCGAAUUAUAAUAAUAAUUGUAAUACUAUUAUUAUUAUUUUUUGGAGCAGUUAGCUAAUUUACUUUGGAGUUUGGACAUUAUUAAAAAGUAAAUCACAUAGCAUAAUAUUUUUUUUGUUUUUUUGGUAAUGUUUCGAACUUAAAUAAUAAUAAAAAAAUAUCAGAUAAGAUAUAUGGAUCGUAUAAUUUCGAUAAUUUCUUCCCAGAUAAAACAAUUGAUUCUCGAGUAAUUCAGAUAAAGACAAGCAGAGAAACAAAGAGCCCAUUGAAAUAAGCAAUUUGUAAACCCUAAGGCCUAUCUCUAGAUUUCCCAUAGCAACUCACAUAGAUUCUCUAGUAAAAAAGCUUUUGAUCCGAUCAAAGAAGUCAUUAUUGGUAAUAAGAUCAAUCAAAAUCUGAGAGAUCGUCUACUAAAUCUAACUUAAAAAGCAUUGAACUUUUCUCUCUAUCUCCUUACUCUGUUUUCUUCUGGUCAACCCCCACGAGAUUCCUUCUUAUGUAGAACAAAUCUGAAUUGUAAAGAGAGGAUUUUUCCGAGAUGGGUCUCUUCGAAUCGGUGAAAUCAAUCGAUUGGGAACAAGAAUCGUACCCAAAUUACCAAGAUUUGGGGUUUUUGCCUCUCUUUGCAGUGUUCUUCCCUUCUAUUCGAUUUCUACUUGAUAGAUUCGUCUUUGAGGUAAAACUACUUACUCUCUUGCUUUUGUACCCUUUGGAAUUUUUAGAUUUGUCUUGUCUGUCCAAUCGCAUUUAUUUCAGUUUCACCAACUAACCACACAAGAAAAGUACAUUACUUUCAGAUUUCUACUUUUAGUAAUGACACUUCAGACCAAUCAUUGCUCUCGAGUCGUGUCUCUGUAUCAAUUUGCUGAUCAUCAAAAAGUUUAGAUUUUUGUUCUGAAGAUAAAUGCAAUGUAGAUGAAGAUUUGUUUGGUACUUUGGUAGGUGAAAGUUUACAUUUUGUUUUAUUGGUGUUUGUAGAAAUUGGCAAAUCUUGUGAUCUAUGGAAGGAAGAGUACGAAUAAGAGUGACAACACAAAAGAGAGGAAGAAGAAUAGUCGAAAAGUACGAAAAUUCAAAGAAUCAGCUUGGAAGUGUAUUUACUACCUCUCAGCUGAGCUACUUGCUUUAUCUGUGACAUAUUAUGAGCCUUGGUUUUCAAAUACUCUCUACUUUUGGAUUGGUCCUGGAGAUCAGAUUUGGCCUGAUCAACAGAUGAAGUAAGAGUUUUUUUUGUUAUGGUCAUCGAUCUUUUGUGAUGGGAUUUUGGUAAAUUUGAUUCUCUAACUAAUCUUUGUUUUGUUAUGAGCAGGUUAAAGUUGAAGUUUUUAUAUAUGUUUGCUGCUGGUUUCUACACGUACUCGAUAUUCGCGUUGGUUUUCUGGGAAACAAGACGGUCUGAUUUUGGAGUUUCGAUGGGUCAUCAUAUCACAACUCUUGUUCUCAUUGUCCUCUCCUACUUCUGCAGGUACAUAUAAAUAUAUGUUUACACAUUUGUGGAGGAAAGGAAAUGAUCCAUCUUUACUCUGUCCUUCUUUUGUUUGAUGGUAUAGAUUAUCUCGCGCUGGUUCUGUUAUUCUUGCACUUCAUGAUGCGAGCGAUGUGUUCUUGGAAAUUGGGAAAAUGUCGAAAUAUUGCGGAGCUGAGACGCUGGCGAGUAUUUCGUUUGUUCUUUUCGCUUCGUCUUGGGUCGUUCUACGUCUCAUUUACUAUCCUUUUUGGAUCCUGUGGAGCACAAGGUUUGUUAUUAUCCCCCGAGCGCUUUCUCUUGAAUGAUUCUCUAGAUGUAUUGAUGUAUGCAAUGUGAUUUUUGAUAUGCAGCUAUCAAAUUAUUAUGACUGUGGACAAAGAAAAGCAUCCUAUCGAUGGGCCGAUUUUGUACUAUAUGUUCAACACACUUCUGUAUUUUCUGCUUGUUCUUCAUAUAUUCUGGUGGGUUUUGAUUUACCGGAUGCUUGUGAAACAAGUACAAGAUCGAGGCAAGCUUAGUGAAGAUGUUAGAUCCGGUACGCAAUAAAAAUCUAUGACAAUAUCUUGGACAAUCCAGGUAGAGAAAGAAGAAAAAAACUCUUAUUAAUGUUCACAUGUCUUCUGCAGAUUCCGAAAGCGAUGAUGAACACGAGGAUUGAUUACAUGUUGGGAAUACUCAAGAGACUUCAGAUUCCAACAUCAAGCCAGAUUCAGUGCAGGAUGGUUUUGCUAGAAUAGAUUGGUUUCUCAAUCUGAAUUUUGAGUUCAAUUCUCUAUAAAGUUUGAGCAAAUUUAAGAUUUUGAUUAGACACACUGCUCAAACUGGUUCACUUAUUGUUCACUUUUCUUCUAUAGUUCUAAAUUAUGGACUUCAUUUAUGCUUUUGCAAUAACACAAAAUACAAUCCUUGUAUCCUUUCGUAAAUUAGCUCCUUCAACAUCUAUGCAGUAGAUUAACACUAAUUCUUGGGAGUGUUUUUUUUGGUUCAAUGGAGAAUAUGAUUAGUUGCGAUAAUUUGACUUUGCUCCUAAACCAAUACAAUACUAAACAGAUAAUACUAUUUGAUACAAAGAAGAAAAUAAUGAUCACAUUAUGUGAUCUAAUUUGAAUAAUCUUAUAUUAUGUGAUUCACAUAGAUAAAUGAAAAAGAAAAAUGAAAGAAAGAGAAAGUAAUGAUGUUUACGCUUCCCCAUAUUCACAUAGAUACUAACGUUCUGUUUGAUUUGACUUGAGAGUAGAAAAAAUAUGAACGUUGUGAAACGGUAACAUUUUUUACCGUUUCAAUAUACAUGACUCUCUCUAUAUAUAUACUCCUUACAAGGGUCAUGAAUCUGAAUCCUUCCUUCUUACUUGGUUUCAUAUUUUACAAAUGACGAGUACAAUGUUCUUUAGUUCUGUUCUUCCACUUGAGUCCUCUCACUCUACACUUCUCAUUAGCCGAGAGAAUUAGACAUAAAGCAUCAUCUUCUUACAAGGUAAGAUAUUCUCUGGUCUAAUUCUCUAGUUUUGUUUACCUGUUCUCUUUCAUCUUGUAAUAAUAAUUUAUGGACUUGAACGUAAAAUUUAAAUGCUCUGCUUUUUUAAUCUAAUUUUGUAUGUAUAUAUAUUGCUGGCGAAACUUUAACGAUGUGGACAAUAAACGUUAACUUUUUUUAGUUAUAUAUAUAUAUAUAUAUAUAUAUAUAUAUAUAUAUAUAUAUAUAUAUAUAUAUUGUAUUUGUCUGAGAAAACAUAGAAUGAGGUCUUUUAUUUGGAAUUGAAAAAUAAGAAAGAAAGAAUUUGUUUUUUUUUUCUUCUUGAAAUUAAAGAAGAAGGUGUUGACAUUUAAAAUGCUUUCAAUUUUUAUGUAAUGCAUGUAAUGUAUUGACAAACGAAACAAAAAACGAUUGUAAUGAAUGGUUGUUUUUUUUGGUUAAUUAUUUAUUGCAGAGAGUUUGAAGAACGGAAACCCAAGAAACCUUUGGGACUGUGUGGCGUUUUCCCCAUCAAGCUUGGCAAGACUUUGUUGAAAGUUGACUAGACGAUAUAUAUUGUGCAUGUAGCUAGUUGCAAUAUCUGUAUUUUCUUUUUCUCUUUCCUGAUAACUGAUGGAUGGAGUGUGUAGGGUAAAUGAAUGUUAGGCAUAGAGAGUGUAUGAAGGUAAUGUAGGUAUAGAUGAAUGUUAAGAUGUGAAGGUAUAAAUGAAUGUUAGGAUGUGUGGAGGCAUAGAUGAAUGUUAGGAUGUGAAGGUAUAGAUGAAUGUUAGGAUGUGUGAAAGUAUGGAUGAAUGUUAGGAUGUGAAGGCAUAGAUGAAUGUUAGGAUGUGAAGGCAUAGAUGAAUGUUAGGAUGUGUGAAAGUAUGGAUGAAUGUUAGGAUGUGAAAGUAUAGAUGAAUUUUAGGAUGUGUGAAGGCAUAGAUGAAUGUUAUGAUGUGUGAAAGUAUGGAUGAAUGUUAGGAUGUGAAGGUAUAUAUUAAUGUUAGGAUGUUAAAGCAUAGAGUAAUGAUAGUAUGUGGAGGCAUAGAUGAAUGGCUUAGUAUAUAUGAAUGUAAGGAUGUUAAGGUAUAGAUGAAUGUUAAAAUGUGAAGCUGUGAAUGAAUGUUAGGAUGUUUGUACGCAUAGAUGAAUGUUAGGAUGUGAAGGUAUAGAUGAAUGUUAGGAUGUUAAGGUAUAGAUGAAUGUUAGGAUGUGAAGGUAUAGAUGAAUGUUAGGAUGUGUGAUGGCAUAGAUUAAUGGCUUAGUAUAGAUGAAUGAAUGUAAGGAUGUUAAGGGAUAUAUGAAUGUUAAAAUGUUAAGGUAUAGAUGAAUGUUAGGAUGUUAAGGCAUAGAUGAAUGUUAGGAUGUUAAGGCAUAGAUGAAUGUUAGGAUGUGAAGGUAUAGAUGAAUGUUAGGAUGUGUGAUGGCAUAGAUUAAUGGCUUAGCAUAGAUGAAUGAAUGUAAGGAUGUUAAGGGAUAUAUGAAUGUUAAAAUGUUAAGGUAUAGAUGAAUGUCUUAGGGUGUGUAAGCAUAGAUGAAUGUCUUAUAUUAGGAUGUGAAGUAUGAAUGAAUGUUAGGAAGUGUAGAUAAUGUAGGGGUGUGAAUAUAUAGAUGAAUGUAAGGAUGUGAAGUCAUAUUAUUUAUGUCUUAAGGAGUGAAAUAGCUAAUGGAUGAUGUGAAUAGAAGUGAAAUGACAGUGCGCAAAAAGGCUAAUCAACAUGCCAAAAAUAAAAUAAAAAACAUUAAUGCAAAAGUACGAUCAAUCAAUAAUUUCUACAAUAUUGUACAACGGGCGGAUUUGUGAAUUUUUUUCGGUUUGUUUACCGUUUGCCGAAACUUAAAAAACAAAUCAGUGUUUAAUUCAAUAAUUCUAAAAAAUAAAAUAAAUAAUUCAUGUAUUUUCUGAAUAUCAAGUUGUAAAAAUAAAAAGAUUUUUUUUAUGGAAAAAAUAAAAUAAAAAUUCUAAAAAUAUUAUAUUGUUAAUUUUAUUUUCUAAAAAACAUUAAAAAUAAUUAUUUUUCCAAAGUACCACAAAACUAACCUAAAAUUAGAUUUUUAAUAUUUAAAUCUCGUUUAAAUCUUGCACCUAAAAACUAUAUCCUAAAUUUAAAAUAUUCAAUCUAAACCCAAAAAAAAGAAGUUAAAUCCUUGAAAAUCAAUUUUUUUUUGUUUGUGUAAUUGUAAAAACUUUUGUGGUAUUUAAAAGAAACUUAUUGUGGAAUUUCUCUUUAUAUGUAUACUCUAAAAUGCUCAAAAAUAAAAUGGACAUUUACAUAGAUAGCAUCAUUUUAGGUUUUUGGGCCACAAAUACCACUACCAUUCAUGGAAAGAGACCAUACCAUUCACAUCAGCUUACUUACAGGAGAAGUAAGAUCUGAUGCUUCAGUCUUCAAAUGUCGAAGAGAUUCGUGGGAGCUUCUUCGAGAGUGACAGUGAAGGGGAAAGGCCAGCCGAGAGGACGCUGAGCUGCAAGUGGCUUGACUGGACAAAGAGAUUGGUAAAGUUGGUUGGUAACUUGGCAAAGACGCAAGCGCAGCAUUACUGUUUGACAACAGUAUCAGUAGUAGUAGCAGUCCUAAAAUCGAGACCGUCAUACAUAAUAAUAUAAUGUACUGAUUCGAUUAAUUCGUUUCAAUCGCUAAAAAUCUAUAUAUCAUGGUCUAGCCCUAGUGACGUUCCAUUUUAUUAGGUAGGUGACGUUCAGCUCAUUCUCUCUUUACGUUCCUACAUAAAUAUUUUUUGUUUUUGUUUUUGUUUUUUUUUUAACCUUUUCAUUAAAAAGCAAACACCUUACAGACCCAAGGACCACUAGCACGCAGGCCCAGAAAACAUACACAACCAUAAAGGUCCACAAAGGCAUACAAGCCCCACUUUACAAGGCCAAAAGACCAAAAACCAAAGCACGUAGGCCCGAGAAAGAAAAAGAAGGGAGAAAAAAAGAGAGAGCGAAAGAGGGGAGUAUACAACCUGAGAGAGAGAGACGCCAAACCUUAGGGAGGGGGAGACCUGCACUAAGGAGGAUAAACAAGAGAGAUAGAAUGAUAAUUUAAAAGAGGGAGAACCAAGUUCCCAAGAGAGACAACGCCGUCGGAGCGAUCCGCUGAGAACCAUGUAUGUAUUUUUUGUUUUUGUUUCUGUAUGACUGUGUCACACCUAAUAGAUUUAGGAUUAAUAUCUAAUCUAAAUAAGUUUCUAUCAAUUACCACAAAUUACAUACAUGCAUGAACAAUUGCACAUAGUCAGCAUGCAAUAACUAUAUGUUAAUAAACAAUUACUUAUAAAUUAAUUAAAAUGAAUCAAAAGACUACAUAUAUAUGGCUAAUGUGUAAAAUGAUUUUUUGAUCAAGAAAAUAAAAGUUAAAUCAUAGUUUCCAUGUUUUUAACGCCUUUUUAGUCAAAACAAACUAUAUAAGGCUUGACAUGCGGUUUUAUUUAGAUGAGAGAUGAUCCAAAAAUUAUUUCCUAGGUAGAUGAGUUUGUUCUUAAACUUUGUCCUUUUUAACUAGUUUUUGUAUUUAAUGACUUUUUCUUAUAUAAGUUUCUUAGGUGAUACGCUUUAAGUCUGAAAAUAUUAAAUGUAUGAUGCAGAUCGUUUCUUCGGUGGUACAUCUUCUUACUAUCAUCUUUCUCCAUUCUGUUCUCAGUUUAUGUUGAAGGACGCCUUUGAUCUUCUUCUUACUUUUCAUGUUCUGUUCUCAGCUUAUCUUGAAGGACGCCUUUGAUCUCUUUUCUGUUCUUAUAUCAGCUAAUGUGUUUUCUUUGGAGCUAUCAUUUUUUUUGCUAGGUCGUGGAGGUUCAAGGCCACUGUUUGCAAUAGUUGGUGUAGAUUUCAUAAAAAGCACAAAAAUUGAGUUUCAAGCUUUCAGAGAAUGAAGUUGGAGCUUCCCAUCUCCACACUAAUUGAUGGGUUCCCACCAUUUCUUCUUUGUUUAUGCUUUGACUGUGUCUACUCUAGUUGAUUACAGUAACCGACUCAGUCUCUAAACUCAAGGGGUUUAAAUGUCUAUAUAUCGAAAUAACUCAUGAUGUACAGAUACAAGGAAGUGUCGGCCAUCAGGCCGAAAUAGAACUUCCACUUUGCAACAUCAAACUCCUAUGCAACGUUAAUGACUUCAUCUCAAACAGAAGCAAUUAGCAUCAACUAUAUAAAAGAUUGCAUACUGCAAAGUCAGACAGGCACAAGCAGAUAAUGGGAAGGAAAAGCUGAUCUCAUCUCCAUCAAUUAUAAUGAAUAACCAAAACACAAAAAGGCAUAAAACACCACAUGAAUUAAAAAUAAUAAUAAUAAUAAUACUGCCAUCGAAAUAUACCUAUAACAUUCAGAAAUAGAGAAGCUACCAUAAAGAGACCAAGUAGAUGUAGCACACCAAAAUGGACAAACAAGGAAGAGACCAAGUAGUAACAUGAAAGACCUAUGUUAAAGACUUAACGAAAAAACCAGACAUAAGCAGAAAUGCGAAUUGCACUUAGUGGAUGAGGAAACUUCCAAUGACAUGCAAGUUCCAAUCAUGUGAAACUCCACACUGUCAUAGUCCAAAACUCAGGGAGCGAAAAAACACUUCAAAAUAAUGUUCUGAAUAACAAUAUGGCAAGCAGAGAUGCUCUACCUUAAAAAUGUACAAUCCCAUUUAAAAGGAAGUUAUGAUCAUCUUCCAGCAUUUUCCUGGAAAAUAAUACAAUAAGACAUACAGAGGAGAGAUAACAAGAAAAAGGAAACAUACCUAUGAGAUCACUCCUUCAAGUAACCAGUGAGGAACUCAAAAGCUUACUUCUCUUGAAGUAAUUCACAAAUAGAAAGGGGUAACAACUAGAAACCACACAACAACAACAAAAAACAAGAAAACAAACCCCAUGAAAAAGAAGCUCAUGACACCUGAAUCAACCAAAUAUGGGAGCUAAAAUCUAAGAAUCACUAGGCAAAAAAAGUUCCAAACAGAACUUCUACUUGCAUCAUCCAAAUUCCUACAAAGGAAAACACCAUCCCAAACAGAAGUGAUUAGCAUUUAAACCAUAGAAAAUGCAGAUCAUGAAAUCUGAAAGACAGUCAAAAAGAGAAAGGAAGAAGAAAAAGAGAAGAAACCACCAAGGAGGUAACAUAGAAAAUGGUAGAUGAAAAUUUAUUCUACCCUUAAAGAAGAGAAGCACGUCACAUAAAAACCAAUCCAUUUUCACAAGCAUAUGAGUAGGAUCAAACAAUAGUAAUAUAGAUUCAGCAAGAGAGAAACAGAGAAAAAGGGAAAGGGAUCAGUUAGUAACCGAUGCUUUUACUCAGGAAACUAGUAAAGAAAAGAGGCCAGUUAGCUUCACUAGGAAGACAAACAUUUUACUAUAUAUGAACCUGGAACAUCCAAUAACAUGAGUAAAGAAAAAAAGACAAGUCAUCGUCACAAGCAUAUGAGUAAAGAUCAAUACUAGGAAUGGAUGUAGCAUGAGAGAAACACCAACAGAGGUAUUGGGGAAAGAUACCAGUUUGAUCAUACUCUAAUAUGCUUGUGACAGUUUUUAAAUGUGAAAAACUCCCCUUCUUUAUAGGUAUAAGACCAACAGAGAUAAAGGGGAAAGAAAACACUAACCUCACGUUUUUCUCUUUUGACCGGUUAGUGACCAUGACCUAUAACAAAAGACAAGACCGUAGACUCUUAGGCAUUAAAACAUAAAUGCCAACAUCAUUAGGAAAAUCAGCAGACAUUACUGGUAACCUGAAACAUUCAAUAGAAGAUCUAUGGAAACAAAGAUAAAGAUAGCCAAGGGAAAGAGGAACAAAAAACCUGAAAAGACCACAUGACCUUAUGCAUCAGAGAGCGCAGACUUAGCAAACCUAACAGACAUAAAGACAUCCAAUACAAAAACACAUAUAUAGAUAUAUAUGCUUACAAAGGACAAAGUAUAAGAACAAACUCGUUUGGAAGGGAGUUUAAGAUCACAUGUGUAGACAACACAGAAACAGAGAGAAGUGCUUGAAGUAGAAAAUCUGAAACACACAAUAAGACACACAAAACAGAUCAUACCCAACCAACAAUAGCCAAAAAAAGGUGAAUAGAUGCGAAGUAACCACAAUUACGAAAUUGUACUCAAGCCAUCCUUCCCUCCCACAUUGCCUUUAGUUUCUAAGAUCUAAACCAAAAAAAUCACCAAAACAAAAAAAAACAUUCAGAAGGAAAACAUGUAGAAAGAGAGACCACAAUCCUAACCAGAAGGGAUUAGCAUUUAAACCAUAUAUUAUAAAAUCAAAAUGAGAAGAAAUAGAUAAGGGGGAGGAACACUGAUCAAAUCUCCACAUAGUUUACCAACCAAAACAAGGGAAAAGACGAAACCACCAAAGAGGUAAAGAGCGCUCGCCUCCUCCCCAUCUUUAAACAUACUAAAGCUUAAAAUCCAAUUAAUGUAAAAAAUGAGAUCUAGCUGAUAACCAAAGGGAAAGAGGAACCCAAACCUGAAUAAACCACAAGUCCAGCCUUGCGCAUCAGAGAAACUCAGACUUAAGCUUACCACCUUAACCUAAGAGACUUGAAAGAUGUAAGAAGAAAAAAUCGUUUCAGACACAUGAAAACAAAUCAUACCUGACCAACAAUAGCAAAUCUCAGAAACUCAUUAGAGAAGAAGCUAACCUGAACAUAUGGUAUACGAGUAGAUAAGAUCCAAUAAAGCAAUCCCAAUGCCUAGGACAAUCUGCAAAACCUAAAUCACCAAAACAAAAACCACAAGUAAGAAUAACAACAUGUAAUAUAAUUAGAAGAAGUGUUAAGAGGAAGAAAACAAAACCCUUGUAGAGAUAGAUUCAUAAUUACUUCCAAAUCACCUACAAGACAGAGAAAGAGAUAUAAGUAUCAAAGCAAAAAAAAAAAGAAAAGAAAAGAAAAAAGAAGUGUUAAGAGGAAGAAAACAAAACCCUUGAAGAAAUAGCUUCCUAAUUGCUUCCAAAAAACCUGCAAGACAAAGAAAGAAAUGUAAGUAUCAAAGCAAAAAAAGAAAGAAGAGGAAAAGGAAGUGUUAGGAGGAAGAAAACAAAACCCUUGACAUAGCUUCAUAAUUGCUUCCAAAAAACCUGCAAGACAAAGAAAGAAAUGUAAGAAUCGAAGCAAAAACAAAGAAGAAGAAGAAAAAGAAGUGUUAAGAGGAAGAACAAAACCCCUGAAAACAGUGACCGUAUUUGAAACCUGAAUAGUCCAAACAAAAAGACCAAAAACAUGUAAAAAAGACCCUCACUACACAGUCCAAAACUCAUGAAGCCAAAACUGACAAUUCUAGUUAAUGAGGCAAUUAUAUAGCUAUCAUAUAAGAAAGGGCAAGAGGAACCCAAACCUGAAUAAACCACAUGUCCAGCCUUGCGCAUCAGAGAAACUCAGACUUAAGCUUACCACCUUAACCUAAGAGAAUUGAAAGUUGUAAGAAGAAAAAAUCGUUUAAGACACAUGAGAACAAAUCAUACCUGACCAACAAUAGCAAAUCUCAGAAAUUCAUUAGAGAAGAAGCUAACCUGAACAUAUGGUAUACGAGUAGAUAAGAUCCAAUAAAGCAAUCCCAAUGCCUAGGACAAUCUGCAAAAAUUAAAUCACCAAAACAAAAACCACAAGUAAGAAUAACAACAUGUAAUAUAAUUAGAAGAAGUGUUAAGAGGAAGAAAACAAAAACCUUGUAGAGAUAGUUUCAUAAUUACUUCCAAAUCACCUACAUGACAAAGAAAGAGAUAUAAGUAUCAAAGCAAAAAAGAAAAGAAGAGGAAAGAGAAGUGUUAAGAGGAAGAAAACAAAACCCCUGAAGACAUAUAUAGCUUCAUAAUUGCUUCCAAAUCACCUGCAAGACAAAGAAAGAAAUGUAAGUAUCAAAGCAAAAAAAGAAAGAAGUGUUAGGAGGAAGAAAACAAAACCCUUGAAGACAUAACUUCAUAAUUGCUUCCAAAAAACCUGCAAGACAAAGAAACAAAUGUAAGAAUCGAAGCAAAAAAAAAAAAAAAAAAAGAAGAAAAAGAAGUGUUAAGAGGAAGAACAAAACCCCUGAAGACUGUGAUAGUAUUUGAAACCUGAAAUUUCAAAACAAAAAGACCAAAAACAUGUUAAAAAGACCUUCAAUGCGCAGUCCAAAACUCAUAAAGGCAAAACUGAAAAUUCUAGUUAAUGAGGCCAUUAUAUAGCUAUCAUAUAAGAAAGGGAAAGAGGAACGCAAACAUGAAUACACCACGUGACCAGCCUUGUGCACCAAAGGACCUCACACUUAAGCUUACCACCUUAACCUAAGAGACUUGAAAGGUGUAAGAAGAAAAAAUUCGUUUAAGACACAUGAGAACAAAUCAUACCUGACCAACAAUAGCAAAUCUCAGAAAGUCAAUAGAGAAGAAGCCAACCUGAAAAUAUGGUAUACGAGUAGAUAAGAUCCAACACAUCAAUCCCAGUGCCUAAAACGAUCUGCAAAAUCUAAAUCACCAAAACAAAAACGAAAAGUAAGAAUAACAACAUGUAAUAAAAUUAGAAGAAGUGCUAAGAGGUAGAAAACUAAACCCUUGUAGACAUAGCUUCAUAAUUAAUUCCAACUCACCUACAAGACAGAGAAAGAGAUAUAAGUAUCAAAGCAAAAAAAAAAAAAGGGGAAGAAAACAAUACCCUUGUAGAGAUAGUUUUAUAAUUACUUCCAAAUCACCUGCAAGACAAAGAAACAGAUAUAAGUAUCAAAGCAAAAAAGAAAAGAAGAGGAAAGAGAAGUGUUAAGAGGAAGAAAACAAAACCCCUGAAGACAUAUAUAGCUUCAUAAUUGCUUCCAAAUCACCUGCAAGACAAAGAAAGAAAUGUAAGUAUCAAAGCCAAAAAAGAAAGAAGUGUUAGGAGGAAGAAAACAAAACCCUUGAAGACAUAACUUCAUAAUUGCUUCCAAAAAACCUGCAAGACAAAGAAACAAAUGUAAGAAUCGAAGCAAAAAAAAAACCAAAAAAGAAGUAAAGAAGUGUUAAGAGGAAGAACAAAACCCCUGAAGACUGUGAUAGUAUUUGAAACCUGAAAUUUCAAAACAAAAAGACCAAAAACAUGUUAAAAAGACCUUCAAUGCGCAGUCCAAAACUCAUAAAGGCAAAACUGAAAAUUCUAGUUAAUGAGGCAAUUAUAUAGCUAUCAUAUAAGAAAGGGAAAGAGGAACGCAAACAUGAAUACACCACAUGACCAGCCUUGUGCACCAAAGGACCUCACACUUAAGCGUACCACCUUGACCUAAGAGACUUGAAAGGUGUAAGAAGAAAAAAUUCGUUUAAGACACAUGAGAACAAAUCAUACCUGACCAACAAUAGCAAAUCUCAGAAGGUCAAUAGAGAAGAAGCCAACCUGAAAAUAUGGUAUACGAGUAGAUAAGAUCCAACACAUCAAUCCCAGUGCCUACAACGAUCUGCAAAAUCUAAAUCACCACAACAAAAACGAAAAGUAAGAAUAACAACAUGUAAUAUAAUUAGAAGAAGUGUUAAGAGGAAGAAAACAAAACCCUUGUAGAGAUAGAUUCAUAAUUACUUCCAACUCACCUACAGGACAGAGAAAGAGAUAUAAGUAUCAAAGCAAAAAAAAAAGAAAAGAAAAGAAAAAAGAAGUGUUAAGAGGAAGAAAACAAAACCCUUGAAGAAAUAGCUUCCUAAUUGCUUCCAAAAAACCUGCAAGACAAAGAAAGAAAUGUAAGUACCAAAGCAAAAAAAGAAAGAAGAGGAAAAGAAAGUGUUAGGAGGAAGAAAACAAAACCCUUGACAUAGCUUCAUAGUUGCUUCCAAAAAACCUGCAAAACAAAGAAAGAAAUGUAAGAAUCGUAGCAAAAACAAAGAAGAAGAAGAAAAAGAAGUGUUAAGAGGAAGAACGAAACCCCUGAAAACAGUGACAGUAUUUGAAACCUGAAACGUCCAAACAAAAAGACCAAAAACAUGUUAAAAAGACCCUCACUACACAGUCCAAAACUCAUGAAGCCAAAACUGAAAAUUCUAGUUAAUGAGGCAAUUAUAUAGCUAUCAUAUACGAAAGGGCAAGUGAAACGCAAACAUUAAUACACCACAUGACCAGCCUUGCGCAUCAGAGAAACUCAGACUUAAGCUUACCACCUUAACCUAAGAGACUUGAAAGAUGUAAGAAGAAAAAAUCGUUUCAGACACAUGAAAACAAAUCAUACCUGACCAACAAUAGCAAAUAUCAUAAACUCAUUAGAGAAGAAGCUAACCUGAACAUAUGGUAUACGAGUAGAUAAGAUCCAAUAAAGCAAUCCCAAUGCCUAGAACAAUCUGCAAAAUCUAAAUCACCAAAACAAAAACCACAAGUAAGAAUAACAACAUGUAAUAUAAUUAGAAGAAGUGUUAAGAGGAAGAAAACAAAACCCUUGUAGAGAUAGAUUCAUAAUUACUUCCAAAUCACCUGCAAGACAACAAAGAAAGAGAUAUAAGUAUCAAAGCAAAAAAGAAAAGAAGAGGAAAGAGAAGUGUUAAGAGAAAGAAAACAAAACCCCUGAAGACAUAUAUAGCUUCAUAAUUGCUUCCAAAUCACCUGCAAGACAAAGAAAGAAAUGUAAGUAUCAAAGCAAAAAAAGAAAGAAGAGGAAAAAGAAGUGUUAGGAGGAAGUAAACAGAACCCUUGAAGACAUAACUUCAUAAUUGCUUCCAAAAUACCAGAAAGACAAAGAAAGAAAUGUAAGUAUCAAAGCAAAAAAAGAAAGAAGAGGAAAAAGAAGUGUUAGGAGGAAGAAAACAGAACCCUUGAAGACAUAGCUUCAUAAUUACUUCCAAAUCACCUGCAUGACAAAGAAAGAAAUGUAAGAAUCGAAGCAAAAAAAAAUGAAGAAGAAGAAAAAGAAGUGUUAAGAGGAAGAACAAAUACUGUCACUACACAGUCCAAAACUCAUGAAGCCAAAACUGAAAAUUCUAGUUAAUGAGGCAAUUAUAUAGCUAUCAUAUAAGAAAGGGAAAGAGGAACGCAAACAUGAAUACACCACAUGACCAGCCUUGCCCAUCAGAGAAACUCAGACUUAAGCUUACGACCUUAACCUAAGAGACAUGAAAGGUGUACGAAGAAAAAAUCGUUUACGACACAUGAGAACAAGUCAUACCUGACCAACAAUAACAAAUCUCGGAAAAGCAUUAGAGAAGAAGAAGAACACUACCUGAAGAUGUAGCGCAUACCACCUGACCUAAGAACAUGAGAACAUGAGAACAUAUUAUAUCUAACCAACAAUAGCAAAUCUCAGAAACUCAUUAGAGAAGAAACCAACCUGAACAUAUGGUGGAUGAGUAGAUAAGAUCCAAGAGAGCAAUCCCAGUGCCUAGAAAAAAUCAGACCUGAACAAUAAUAACAAAAUAUAAAUCCCCAAAACAAAAACGCCAAGUAAGAAUAACAACAUGUAAUUUUGAUUAGGAAACAAACCAACAAUGCAAUUUAAAACCCAAAGUGAAGCAGAGGAAAACGAGAGUCCAAUGUUCCAAAAAGAAGAAGAAGAAAAAAAAGCAAAUCAGUGAUGGAUCAUAAUAGAAUCAUCAUCAUCAUCAUCAUCAUCAUCCACCACAAUCCACGACAAGUUAAAAAUCAAACCGUAGGAGGAGUGAAAAAUUCAGAAGCGGUAGCGACGGUCGAAUCAUAGAAUCGCUUCCAAAAGACCUGCAAGACGAAGAAACUUACUUAGUUACAUAUGAAACGAGAAAACAAAAUAAACAAUCAGAGAUGCGUUAAGAAGAAGAAGAAGAAGAAGAGUAACAGAGCUUAGAGAUUAGCAUGAACCGUUGCAAUGCAAUUGAGAGAGACGAACACCAAACCCACCCACCAUAACCAUGACUCGACUCGUACAGAGGAGGUGUUAGUGACGGAACAAAUUAAAACUAAAAGAUGAAGAUGAAGAAGUUUACACAAGAGCGUGUUAUUUAUAGAUAUAAGGUAUCUGACGGUCUCUAUUUGAUCUUGUGUGAUUUUUAACGGUCCUGAUUAUAACUUUCCUUUUCUUUUUUUACUAAGCUCUCAGUUUUUCCUUUUUGUUUUUAAAACCUCUAACUAUUUCCUUUUUCUAAUUUUCCUUUUUUCCUAUAUUUCCUUUUUGUUUUUGUUAAAACAUCUAACUAUUUCCUUUUUCUAAUUUUCCUUUUUUCCUAUAUUUCUUUUUUCCUAUAUUUCCUUUUUGUUUUUCUUAAAACGUGACAAAAAAUCGAUAUUUCCUUUUUCUAAUUUUCCUUUUUACUAUAUUUCAUUUUUCUGAUUUUCCUUUUUUCCUAUUUAGCUUCUUUGUUAUUUCCAUUUUUGUUAUAGUGGCCGCCCAACAAAAAUAAUUUCAAAUUGGUUUUUGCUUCACCAUCCGUCCAAAUUCCUUAAACGCAAAAUAUAUGUAGCGUACCACUACUAUUCCAUUUUUCUAGUAAAUAUAUAUAUAUAUACUUGUUGACCAAAAGUAUUAUUAUAUGGCUACUUUGAGAUAACAAUUAUUAAUUAUUUUUUAAUCAAAAUAAAACAAAACAAAUUAUUUUUUUCAUCUUUAAAAAUCUUAUUUUUGCAAUGUUCGAUUCUUUGCUCUCUUUUUUUUUGGUUAAAAAAAAAACUAUUGCUCUCUUUUUUUUUGGUUAAAAAAAAACAUAGUUUCAUGUUCUUCCUAAUUCUCCAACGUAUAGAUUUCACAAAUAUUAUUAAUAUGUAUUUUUCUCUUAAACAAUCCAUUUAGUUCAAAUCCGAUUUUAUUAUUCUCAACGUUGAAUUAUGAUUUAUGAAUGAUCAUAUAAGGUUAAGAAGAAGAAGAAGAAGAAGAAGAAGAAGAAGAAGAAGAAGAAGAAGAAGAAGAAGAAGAAGAAGAAGAAGAAGAAGAAGAAGAAGAAGAAGAAGAAGAAACUAGUCUAAUAAAACAUACAUAAAAACGAAUAGUGGGUAGUACUAUGUAUCUCAUAUCCAUCCGUAGAGCUAUGUACUAGAAUAGUGGACAUUAUAUUGGACACGAAUAGCUCUGUUAGUUACAUAUGGAGUCAGCACAGUCCAUUUUUAUAGGUUUUAGUUUGAGUUUAAGUUUGACUUGGAGUUUUAGUUUAAGUUUCAGACUUUUAAGUGUUUGAGUUUCAGCUUUGGUACAAGUGUUUGAGACUUUGAAUGUUUUUUCGAGUUACAAAUUUAGUGUCUGUUUUCAAUGUUUCAUGAGUUUGUUAGGUUACAUUUUUUCAUGAGUUUUUUUUUUUUUUUUUUUUGAAUGAAUGUAAAAUUAGAUUCAACCAAAAAAGAGACCUUGUUCUUACAAUAUAUGCAACGUAAGAUUGAAAAAUUUGCUCAAAGCCUAGGAAUUAGGAAAAAUAUAAAAAACAGAGCGUUUAGUAUCUAGAGGCCAACCAAGAGCUGAAGACGUCUCCUUUGAGUGAGCUGCACCGGUUGCGAAUAUGUCGAUCAAUGAGUAGAAUGAGCUGGUCUGUAGGCUGAGGUCGUUCUCCGUGACGUCUGUUGUUUCUUUCCCGCCAAAGCGAGUGAAUUGUAGACUGGAAAACAUACCUUAUGAUAUAGCGAACAGUUGGAGGGAGUUGGGUCCCCGAGAUGAGAGAGACGACAUCCCAGAAUAGCGGAGUGUAUUGUGCUUGCAGUAGGCGAGAUGUGAGAUCGUGCCAUACUUGUGAUGAGUAGGGACAAGAGAAGAAUAGAUGGUCACGGGUUUCCCACGGGUCAUUGCAAAACGCACAACCUGUUGAUAUCCCUGAGUUCCAAGCGCCCAUUCGAUCCCCUGUUGUAAGGCGGUUGAGAGUAGCCAGCCAAGAAAUAAAUGAGAACUUAGGGGUGGAGUAGGAAAACCAGAUCCCUUUAGCCCAUUGAAGCGUUACACCAUUGUUGCGUAUCUGAAGCCAAGUGUCUUUCGCAGAGAACUGUGGCCUGAACUUGUUACUUAUACCUCGCCAUAGGGGUACAUCACGAGCAUUGCCUAAACCAUUGCGAAACUUAUCCAACUCAGCUUCAAUCUGGUUUAACAACUCACCACGGUGAUGGCGGCGACGGUGUCUAAGAGCAUCAACAAUAGUAGCAGUACGGGGGAUCCCAAGGUCUAUGAAACCUCUAUCACCUAGCAAGUCGUGAAGGAUACCAAGGGGGCACCAAUUGUCAAACCAGAAGGAGGUAGUAAGGCCAUUGCCCACGUUCUUACGGCAAAACUCCUUAGCCUGAGAUCGAUAUUUAAGGAGUUUCCUCCACAUCCAAGAACCCAAAGUUGUAGUGUUUGUAGCUGACCAAAAAAUUUCAUUCCGAAGCAACUCGCUCUUAACCCAAUCAACCCAUAGCGAAUUUGCUGAGAACAGACGCCAAAUGAGUUUAAAACAGCUUACUUUGUUUGCCUCAGCAAGAGACUUCAGGCCUAAUCCGCCCUCCUCUUUGGGACGACACACAUCACGCCAUGCCACCUUUGCCUUUGUGGAGCUUAAUUCCGGACCAGACCAAAGAAAAGCGGAGCAUAUAGCUUCAAUUUCUUUGAUGCAAGCACUCGGUAGACGGAAAGCAGAAAUCCAGAAAUUCGUCAAACUGAAAAUAACGGAGCUUAGGAGUUGCAGCCUUCCAGCAUAAGAUAGAAAACGGUUUUUCCAAGAACUGAUGCGCGAUCUGAUUUUUUCCAAAAGAGGGAGACAGUCAGACAAUGACAGACGCUUAGUAAGCAGUGGAAGACCCAAGUAUCGAACCGGUAGAGUACCCAAUUCAAAAGGAAAGCGACUUAGAAUGUUAGCCCGAACUGUACCCGCGACACCUGCCAAAAACAAAGUAGAUUUCUCCAAACUGAUACGUAACCCGGAGAUUUCGGCAAACUCUUUGAAGACCCCCAAGAUAUGAUCCAUGGACCGUAAAGUGCCAUCCGAGACCACCAUUAUAUCAUCAGCAAAACACAAGUGAGUUAGCUUCAGAUUCUUACACUUUGGGUGGUAGCCAAAUCUAUUAUCGGCCGCCGCUUUAUCCAGCAUAUGAGACAAAACAUUCAUACUCAUGACAAACAGGUAAGGCGAGAGUGAACAGCCCUGACGUAAUCCACGAGUACUUUGGAAGAACCCGGAUAAUUCCCCAUUUACUUGGACAGAAAAAGAAGCAGUAGAAAUACAAAGGUUGAUCCAAUGAAUGAACUGUUCUGGAAAAUGCAGAGCCCGAAAUAUAUUCAGAAUAAAAGACCAUUGUACCGUGUCAAAAGCCUUGGAGAUAUCAAGUUUCAUCGCACACCGAGGAGAGAUGCCUUCUUUGUGGUAAUCUUUAACUAAUUCAGUGGCAAGAAGUAAAUUCUCCAUUAGCAGUCUAUCAUGGAUAAAAGCUGACUGGUUUGGAGCAAUGAUAUCAGGAAGAAUUCUCUUAAGGCGAUUAGCGAUAAUCUUGGAGAUGGCUUUGUACAAGACGUUACAGCAAGAGAUUGGCCGAUAGUCUUUCAUUGCUCUUACGUCGACUGUCUUUGGGAUCAGAGCCAGAAUGGUAGUGUUGAGACCUUUUGGAAGGAAGCCAUAAGUGAAAAAAGAUUUGACGGAAAGUAUGAGCUCACGCCCGACUAUAUCCCAAGCUUCCUUGAAAAACUCCGUAGUGUACCCGUCUGGACCAGGAGCCUUAUUCGUCGGCAUAGAAAAAAUGACCUUCUUUAUUUCUGCCUCGGUGACCUCAGCAGUGAGCCGGGUUUGAUCAUGGUCAGAACAGCGGAAAGGGAUCAAAGCUCCUAUAUACUCUACAGAGGCGCCUGAGAAGUCAGAUGGGGCGGUAGUGAGAAGAUCCGUAAAGAAGCGUACAGCCUCAGCCUUGAUGUCAUUUGAGUUUGUGAGAGUUACCCCCGCUGGAUUUUGCACCUCAUGAAUCGAGUUUAGAGCUUGUCUCUCUUUGACUCCAUUAUGAAAGAACUUAUUAUUCCUGUCUCCAACCUUAAUCCAGUGCAGUUUAGACCUCUGCUUCAGGAAUUUCUCUUCUAAGCCUGCAACUUUUUCCCACCUUUCAUAUGCUUUUGUUUCUUCCCUGAGGUCUUGAGGAUUGGGAGACGAGAGAGUGCGGAGUUGUAACAAACAGAGAUCAUCAUAGGCAGCUGCUGCACGGCGAGAGAUAUCUGAGAGUUUAUUUCGGCCAAGCUCACGGAGAAUAGGUUUUAAUAACUUUAGCUUCUUCGAAAAUCGAAAAAGAGUGGAGGUAGAUUGAAACAGAGGAGAGGAAGCUUGCCAAUAGCUCUUCAUUCGCGGUAUGAACUCGGGCUGAGAAGCUAUAGCAUUGGUGAAUUUGAACGGUCCUCGAGAACGAGAGAAACCAGAAGUGAGAGAGAUAGUACCCCGGAGGUGAUCAGAACAGCCUCCGGCUUCCAUAGUACAGUAGGACUGAGGAAAGGUCUGAAGCCAGCCAGGGUUAUGGAGCGCCCGGUCCAGCUUUUUGCAGAUCAACCCGCCGUCUUGCUUAUUAGACCAAGUAAAAAGAGGGCCAUGGGUUCUUAGGUCGGCAAAGGAGCAAUACCGAACUAAGUCUUGGAAAUCACGCAUGCCUGAGGUUAACUGAGGGGAGAUGGCGACCCGAGAAUGCUCAUUUGGGUCCAAAGUCUCAUUGAAAUCACCAAAUAAAAUCCAUGGCUUACUCUGAAAAGCUAGAGAGUUCUGUUGUUGUUUAAUAUCUUGCCACAAAUCCUUCCUUUCUACUUCCAGGUUAGAGGCAUAAAUGAAAGAACAUACAAAGUCCUCAUCCAAAUUUGGCAGUUGAAUGAGACAAGUGAUUAGCUGACUACUCUUAUGCAGGACCUGCAACUUAACUUUCCCACUCCAUACCACCCAGAUCCGUCCCAAUCUGCUAAACUCGUAGUUAGAGACCAUAUUCCAAGUCGAAAAAACCUUUUGAACAAUGUUAGACGCUUUGCUAUCUUUUACUUUUGUUUCCAAUAAACAACCGAACUCCAAACCAGACUUUGAACAUAACCAAUCCCGAACGACUAACUGCUUACUUUCUUUAUUAAAACCACGGAUGUUCCAGAAGAACCCCGACAUUAAUGUUUCUUUUUAGUAGACUUUUUUCUGAUAGUAGGUUGAACUGUGGCAGAAGCUUUCACUUGUGAGGAGGAAGCCUGCAAAUACUUAUGAGCAUUCUUAGAAUCUCUAGGUAGGACUGGGCGCAAUGUAACAUUUUCAUCUUUGUGAUCUCUAUUUGUAGAUUUCAGAUUUCCAGCAGGGACGGUCUCGACAAGUAAUUCCUCCUCCAUUGUAUCUUCUCUAAAAGCAUCAAAACGUGUUGGCGAAAUAAUUGUUAGAGGAACAACGCCAUCCUGAGUGUGUGAUGCAGCUCUGCCCCCACCUCCAGAAUGGGUAACCUUAGACCACUCUUCAUCCUUAGACCCGAACGCUUGUAUAGUAGAAAUAGGCGAGAGAGGAAUAAACUCCCCCUCCUCCUGUUCUGUGACGAUGUUUCCUACCUCAGAAACUGUUACAACGGGGACCAAUUGCUGAACAGGUUCUGUGCUAACUUGCUCUGCAGGCACCUCAACAGAAGGCGUAGCAGGAGGCGAUGUGACCUUGUCAGGAACACCUACAGACUCAAAUACUGGAGCAACCAAAGAAACAGAGAGGUCUGUACUCGCGUUUGCACCAGGUUCAUGGUGAGAUAUUACUCGCUUGUUUGGGCUCGUUCUUGACUUACCCGCUGCUGCAAGGCAUCCGUCAUCAAAAUGGCCCCAUUUGUUACAGAGACCACAACAUGGAGGGAGCCAUGGAUAUUCAUAUUGAACACUUGUCUCCUCCCCUUUAAUCUUGAAGAUGUAAGAUUUAGGUAAUUCCUUCGCAAGAUCCACCUCAACAAAUACUUUUGCCUCAUCAAAACAUGUAACUAAUUCCGUCUCUUGGUGCAAUCUUUUAGGCUCACCCACCGGACUGGCGAGGAAACUAAGACCCGGCCAUGAAAACAUGGAAGGUGGGACGUUCUUUAGAAUGACCCACAUUGGCAUAGACUUGAUCUCUGGUUGAGCGUCCUCCGCAACCGGAGUCCAUUUCGACACAAUCAUCGGCUGAUCACAUAUGUUCCACAUGCCCCUACGUAACACAUGGUUUCGCACGGCAGCAUUUCGGAUUCUGAACUUCACCAUCUUUUCAUUCAUACUAUACACAUCUAUCUUUAUAGAUCGAUCGCCUAGGUUCCAAAUUUUGUUCACGAUGACAUGAAUCCGGCCAACAUGCGGAGCAGCAUUAGGGAACCUACCCACCAAGAAAUCCUCCCAAAGAGGCACUGAAUCUUUUAACACUUCAUCAGGGACAAUCACCAUGGCUUUACCAUCAACCACACUAACUUCAACGUUGAAUUUUGAGAGAGCCGGUUUCCCAACAAUCGUAGCAUACGACUUUUGAACUGAAAUUGCAGCAGGAUCCAUCACGGGAGGGUUUCCCGUCGGUGGAGACCCAAGACCAGCUUCCUCCGCCAUGGGAGACAGGCGGCGAGCCCCAAAACCACUCAUGCUUAAACUACUCUCAAAGUCAUAGUCUUUCACGUACACUCCUAUUGAAGAAAUGAUUGUCAAGAAAUCAAGAUCGAGCCUAUGUACCAAUACACUAAUCCUAAUAAGGAGGAGGUGGUUUUCUUCAUGAAAUUUUUGUUUCACAAUAAUGCGUAUCAUGUGUUUCAUCUACGUCAAACAAAUUCAAAAUCUUUGUCUGUCACUGUCAUACAAGGCCACUUUCUUCUGUACUCUUGGCCCCUGCAAUAAAAACCAUUAGGGAACUACAAAAGAAUACGCUAGGCAUCUCCACUGCAAUAAUUGUUUCGAUAUACAAAUUUGAAUCUCUGAGUUUAGACACAGGCUAGGUUACUGUUAUCAACUAGAGAAAGUAAUUCACAAACCAACAGAGACACAAUAAUCACAAGCCAAAGAAUAGUAAACCUCGUAAAACAUGAAUCUACCAGAGAUGGAAACAACUACUAAAAAGCUUGAAACAUAGAAAAGCCACCCCUACACUGAGAGUAUCAAACAUCGAUUAUGACUUCAUCUCAAACAGAAGCAAUUAGCAUCAACAAUAGAAAAGAUUGAAUACUGCAAAAUCAGACAAGCACAAGUAGACAAGGGGAAGGAAAUGCUUAUCACAUCUCCAUAGAAUAUAAUGUUAACCAAAACAUAAAAAGGCAUAAACACCACAUCUAUUACAAAAAUAAAAAAAAAUACUGCAAUCAUCGAUGCCAAAAAUUAAAUAAAAAAGGGAGUCUGGCUUCUUCACAUCCUCAACAUACCUAUAAUAAUAAAGGAAACUAAUUCAUAAAUAAAGAAGCUACCAUCACAAGCAGUAAGAGACCAAGUAGAUGUAGCACACCAAAAUGGACAAACAAGGAAGAGACCAAGUAGUGACAUGAAAUACCUGUGUUAAAGACUUAAACAAAAAAAAACAAGCAUAAGUAGAAAUGCAAUUUGCACUAGACAGAUGAGGAACAUUACUGUUGACGGGAAACUUCCAAUGACAUGCAAGUUCCAAUCAUGUGAAACUCCACACUGUCAUAGUCCAAAACUCAGGGAGCGAAAAAACACUUCAAAAUAAUGUUCUGAAUAACAACAUGGCAAGCAGAGAUGCUCUACCUUAAAAAUGUACAAUCCCAUUUAAAAGGAAGUUAUGAUCAUCUUCCAGCAUUUUCCUGGAAAAUAAUACAAUAAGACAUACAGAGGAGAGAUAAUAAGAAAAAGGAAACGUACAUAUGAGAUCACUCCUUGAGGCAACCAGUGAGGAACUCAAAAGCUUACUUCUCUUGAAGUAAUUCACAAAUAGCAAGAGGCGUAACAACUAACAACAACAAUAACAACAAAAAAUAAACAAACCCCAUGAAUUAUAAGCUCAUGAAACCUGAAUCAACCAAUUAUGGAAGCUUUGAAUUAAGAAUAUUCUAGACAAAAAAGAGGUACAAACAGAACUUCUAGUUACAUCAUCCAAAUUCCUAUACGUCAGAAAGAGAAAACACCAUCCCAAACAUACGUGAUUAGCAGUUACAUCAUAGAAAAAUUCAGAUCAUGAAAUCAGAACAGUCAAACAGAGAAAGGAAGAUGACAAACUGAGCAUAUCUCCAAGGAAAAGAGAAGAAACCACCAAGGAGGUAACAUAGAAAAUGGUAGAGAAAAGUUAUCCUACCCAUAAAGAAGAGAAGCAAUUCACAUAUAAAAAAAAAACAAUCCAUUUCCACAAGCAUAUGAGUAGUAUCAAACAAUAAGAAUAUAGAUUAAGCAAGAGAGAAACAGAGACAAAAGGGAAAGGGACCAGUUACUAACCAAUGCUUUUCUUCUAUAGAACCUCGACUAGUUAAAGAGAAGAGGCUAAUUAGCCUCACUAGGAAGACAAGACUGGGCUUAAAACCUGAAAUAUCCAAUUAAAAGACCAAAUAAAACUCCCUGAUGGCACAGUCCAAACUCAAAAUCCAUGUAAUAAAAACAUAUAGAUAGCUGAGAAUACAAACGGAAAAGAGGAACAAAAACCACAUGUCCAGCAUAGUAGCAUAACACCUAAGAGACAUAAAAAGAAGAGGUUGAAUACAAAAUUAAAAAAGGACAAUGUUUAAGAACAAACUCGUGUAGGAAAUUAUUUUUGGAUCAUCUCUCUCAUUCUUAAUGUGUGUACACAGCAAGAACAUCUGGGAAACACAAGCAACAGAGGACCAACAUUAGCCAAUAUCAAAUAAUAUAAGUGAUAGGCAAAAAGGUGUAUAAAUGUGAGGUUUACCUGAAAGUUCAUCAGCACUCUCACUAUUUUUUUUCUUUUUCUCUUCGAAACCUACCACACAGUAAUCCCGGGGCCUCGACAAUCUGCAUCAAAGAAAGACAUAGAUUUUUUUCACUUAGAAGGAUAAAUCAGUAAAAAGGAAGAACACUACCUGAAGAUACAGUGCAGAGAAGGCAAAAUGUAUCAAUUGAAGCUGAAAGAACUACUCAACCAAGAGUUUGAAAUGAAGGACUUAGGACCAGCAAGGAAAAUCCUGGGAAUGCAGAUCAAGAGAGACAGAGAUCAAGGAAUUUUGGAGUUGUCUCAAAGUGAAUAUGUUGAACAAGUCUUAAGGACUUUUGGAAUGGAUCAAUCGAAGGCCACACAGACACCACUGGGUGCUCAUUUCAGAUUAAGAGCUGCUUCAGAACAAAUUCUCAGAAGAGAAGAAGAGUACAUGAGCUCAGUUCCCUAUCCUAAUGCUAUUGGAAGCAUUAUGUACUCUAUGAUAGGAUCAAGGCCGGAUUUGGCAUAUCCUGUGGGGGUUGUAAGCAGGUUCAUGAGCAGACCUUCAAAAGAACAUUGGCAGGCUGUGAAAUGGGUCAUGAGGUACAUGAAGGGGACACAAGAUAUGUGUCUAACGUUUAAGAGGGAAGAAAAGUUUGAGAUCAAAGGUUACUGCGAUUCUGACUAUGCAACUGAUUUGGACAAGAGAAGGUCUAUCACAGGCUAUGUAUUUACAGCUGGUGGGAAUACAAUAAGCUGGAAGUCAUGUUUACAGAGAGUGGUGGCUCUGUCAACAACAGAAGCAGAAUACAUGGCCCUAACAGAAGCAGUAAAAGAAGCUUUAUGGCUGAAGGGUUUAGCUGCAGAGAUGGGUUUCAAUCAAGAAGCAGUUGAGAUUAUGUGUGACUCACAAAGUGCCAUAGCUUUGUCCAAGAACUCAGUUCACCAUGAGAGGACAAAGCAUAUAGAUGUGAGAUAUCACUUCAUAAGGGAGAAGAUUGCAGAUGGGGAGAUUCAAGUUGUCAAGAUUUCAACAACUUGGAAUCCAGCAGAUAUCUUCACCAAGAUAGUACCAGUGAGUAAGCUUCAAGAUGCUCUGAAGCUUCUCAGGGUCUCCAGCGAAUGAGAGACCACAGAUCCGAGAUUGGAAAUCAAGUAACACUAAGAGGACAAAGUCAAGUGAAUUUGAACCAAGGAGGAGUUUUGUGGGUUUUGUUUAAAAUUCACCAAGUUAUUAAGAGACUCCAGCUGGUUCAGAGGGUUCACAAGCAAGGAAGAAAGAAAGAAAGGGAUAAGAAGUUCUGUGUAUAACAGAGGGUUCACUUUUUGGUCUAAUGUCGAUGCUUUCUUCUUCUCAGUCUCUCUCGUUCUCUCUCAUGGCGUCACCACCUGAACCAAAAUCGUACAAGCAUGAAUUGGGGAGCAAACAGAAGCGUGAAGAAGGCUGCCUGCAAUUCGUACGAAUCAGGCCGUGUCUGGCGGAGAGAGAGAUCCGACAACAAGAAGAAUUGGCGACCAAGUUGUCGGGUAAGGUUCUCUUUGUCUUUAUAAUGAGAACUGUGAGAAACUUGUAAGGGGUGGUGAGUUCAAGUUUGUAUUGAGAGAGAGAAGUUGUAAGAACCCUAAAGGCUCUAGAUUUGAGCAAAGUCUUAGUGGAUUUCCGAGGAGAGUCUCGGCCAGACGUAGCGACACCAUUCCGGGUCGUGAACUGGAUAAUUUGCUGUGUGUUCUUUAUAUUUUCUCUAAGCUUAUCCCAUACAAACGAGAGAAACAGAGAGUUGAGAGAAAUUCCUUUAAGUUAAACCAAAAGCUUGAAUCUUUCUUAAGUCUUGAGUGUAAAGGUGUUGGCUUUCUCGGUUCUAACUUUCACAGAUCCUCCUCCAGAAAUCUAAACCAAUAAAACAAAAAAGACAAGUAAAUGAAAAUCAGACAAACCUAGAAAGAUGAUAAACCAGAAGAAAGAUUUUAUUACAGAGGGCACAAACACACACACCAGAAUCACAAAAAGGAUACGUUUGGUACCAGACUCCUUUUGGAACUUCUCAGCCAGAGUGUUCAUAUCCUUCAGUCACAAGGGAAAUUCAUCACCAGAGUGUUGCAUAUUUUUCGUUCCUAAGCUUGAUCACAGCAUUUAGUUUCCUCUCGCAUUCUUCACGACUGAUCACCUUCUUCCAAGUAGCCUGUGACUAGCCAUGAUAAAAUCAGGGCCAAAAAAUAUUACAUUAAGAUUCAAUUUUGUUUCAAAAUAUCAAUUUAGAUCAAAGGACAUAAGAACGGACUCAAGAGAAUCUAAAUCACCAUUACUAACUUGGUCGUCUUCUUUAAGAAGGUUAACAAAAAUCCCAAACAAUGGCUUUAGCAAGUGUGGCUCCCAUCUGUAACGCUUGUCAAUACAAAGUAUUAUAAAUAAAUAAAAACAGAGUCUUGUGGCGAAACCCUAGAAGGUGAAAAAUCAGAAUCCACAAGAAGAAGAAGAAGAAGAAGAAGAAGAAGAAGAAGAAGAAGUUGCCUUGAUAUACAAGUGUAAAAAGACUGAGAGCGAGUGAUUGAGGAGGAGGUCAUUAUUUAUAGAUAAGGUCGGAAAGCUAUUGACGGUCUCGAUUUGAUCUUAUGUAAGAUUUCAACGGCUGUGAUUAAAACGACAAAGUCGGUAAGUCAAUGUGCACUUUUCCUUUUUUCUUUUUUGGCAAAUUUGAACCGUUAGAUUCAUCUUUCAUAUUUCCUUUUUUUUUUUUCUUUAGAAUUCUCCUUUUUCCUAUUUCCUAUUCUUUCCUUUUUGUUUCUAUUUCCUUUUUCCUAUAUUUCUCAAAAAAAAAAACUUAUUAAUAUUAAAAACAAUAACUAAUUUAAAACGGAAUUUAUAAAUUCCAACACAAAAUAUUUGCCACUAAAUUGCUCAAAAAAAAAAAAACUUAUUAAUAUUAAAAACAACAACUAAUUUUAAACAGAAUUUAUAAAAUCCAACACAAAAUAUUUGCCAAAAAAUGAAAAGAAAGAAUAAUCUCAUCAAUAAAGGAAAAAACAAAAAAAAAAAACUAAAUUCAGCAUUUACUUAGGCGCACAAUAGCGAUACGCCUUUGAGAUUGGUUUGGGGUUUUAGCUUUGUUUCUCGCUGUCUUGCCCGAGAAGACUGAACCAUUUGCUAAGUUCUCUUUUCUUCUUUGUUCAUCAUCGAUCAAUUCUACUGCACAAAAGGUACGUUUUUUCACUUCCUUCUCUACCCUUUACCCUAAAUUUUAUUGCUUUGUUUCUUCCUGUGUCGUCUCUCUCUGCGAUUCGUAUUCAUAUUGCUUCGAUUGAUGAUAUACUCUAUAUAGUCUGCUCUUGGAAUGUAUAACUUAUAGAUUUUUACUCUGUUCUUACGGAUUUGAGUUUGAAUCUUGUGGUUUUGGAUAUUUAGAAAAGAAUCGAUUUUUUUAUCUUCAUCUAGUUAGAUUUGGGGGUUUCCGCAGUUUUCAUUGAUUGGAUUGGAACUAGAGAAGGAAAAAAAAAAAUCAAUAAUUUAACAAAAGAUCUGAACCAAGUAUUGUUUUGGCAGUCUCUUGAGUUAGUUCUUUGAAUAAGAUCUGUGAUAGGAUUGAUUGCUAGCUUUUGGUUGCUUUGAUUGUGGAAAUAUAAGAUGAGUUCAUGUUCGUACAUGUCCACGAACCAAAACAAGUCUGCGUUUGAUUUAGUUUUGGCAGCAACUAGUCCUGUUUUGGUGUCUUUUCUAAUCUCACUCACAGGAGUGUGUGAUCUCUCUUAUUUAGAAUAUCAGAUAUUUGAUCCUGAGACUGUUAUAUUUGAUAAUUGAUGAUACAACUGAAUUGUUAGUUAUUCGAUUUGAUCAGAACCAAAGAACUGUGUGUAUUUUCAUCAUCUGAUUCAGUUUAAGUGUCAUUGUUGUUUAUCUGAUUCUCAUGGUUAUUUAAGAACUUCAUUUUAUGAAGAUCUGUGAUUUAAUGAUUUGUCAACUCUUGUAGGUAGUUUAUACACACAAUGUAGAUGAGUUAUCUUAUGUAUCCCAUUCCAUCGAGCGGAUUGAAUGGGAAUGGGAUAAUUAGAAACUGGAUUUUGGUCAUUGCAGCACGCUUAAGAAGAUUUUUUUUAGAAAUUAUGGUUUCCAUGGUUUUCUUUAGAUGCGGUUAUGAAAAGUGAAAUUAGAGGUCGAAAGAUUAUUUGUUGUGAAAGUUGAUUUCUUUAUGAGCUCCUAGAGCUAUUAAGAUAAGAUAUUUGUUAUCUUUUGCUACAUUGCUUGUAAAUUUAAGGUGAGUCCAUGUUCUUAUAUGUCCAUGAACCAACAGAAGUCUGCGUUUCAUUAAGUUUUUGCAUCCACUAUUCACGAGAGUUUGCAAUCUCUUAUUGGAAUAUACAAUUUUUGAUCCUACGACUGUUGUAUUUUGUUGCUUUUCUGUUGGAUUUGUGAUAAUGGAAUACAGCUGAGUUGUUGACAUUCCAUCUGAUCAGAAUCAAAAAGCUUUUUGUGUGCAUCACACUAAUUCGGUUUAGGUGUCGUCGUUAUCUAUUUUUUAUGGUUAUCUAAUUGUGUGCAUCGUUCUUCAGUUGUGUUUGCCUCGUGCUAGCUAAUUGCAUGUUUGAUAUGUAUCUUGGUACAGGUUUGUGAGAGUUAGAUAGAAGGUAAGAAAUGGAAGAUGUACUUACCCAGAAUCCUCCACCUUCAAGAUUCUUCCAAGAAGAUCUGAACAAUUUUGUUCCGCCACCCGAAACCCUUCCAUCCCCUUUCAUCAUAUUCUCAAACCCAAAACCUGAGCUUCCCCUCCGACCAUCUCUACUCAUCAUAGCCAUUUCUUCACCUUCCCUCUAUAUUUUCCACAAUUUACCUUCAAAGACUCUCCUUGGAAGUCUCAUCAUGCCUGAGGUCCCUUUUUCUGGAAACACCACAGAACCUUCUUUGGAAGACAAAUCCUGCAACAUAUAUUCCUUAAGUGACACCAAUGAUAAAAACUCGAUCAUCCUCGUCUCUGUUCAGCUUCCUGUAUCUCCUGAACGGUCUAACCUGGUCUCGAGAUUGCUCAUUGGCCAAGACAUCAUCCCCGAACGGGUUAUAAUCUUGGAUUCCAUUCAGAGCCGUAACUUCAGAGGUAAACUUUCACCAGACGAAACAUUGGCAGCUAAACUUGAAACAUCAGCUGAGAAGAAAGCAACAAGUCACUUGGUGAAUCUGGAUUACUUCCCAUCAGGGAGUGUAAUCGACGGUCUGAGUGCUUCACUUUUGAGCCGGUGUCAGCUAAAGAACAUGAAAGGAACAUUAGUGAUCUCAUGGCCCGAGUUUGGUCCUUCCGUGAUAAGAUUUGUCGGAGCUCUGCUGAAGCACAUUGUCCCGAGUUUGGAUCUUACUAAUGUUAACAAAGAUCUGGAGAAGAAUUCUUCAAGAGCUGGUCUUAAAAAGGAUGCUUGGGUCGACUCAGAGUUAUAUACAUGAUUCAGUGAGAGAGAAGUUUUCUUAAAAAGUUGUUUCUUGUUUCUAUGCUUAGUUGGACAAAACAGAGAAGACCUUAGGUGUGUGCUUGUCUUGUUCUCAUUGCAAAACAGUUUUUCAAAUUUUAGUCUCGAUCUUGUCCACUCUCUCUUACACUGAGAUUUUUAAUGGCAUUGGUUUCAAGAAAACCAAGAAAAAACAAAAACAAAAUUGGGAUAUUUUCUUUAUUUUUUAUUUUUAUAAAAAAGUAUUAAAAACUAGAAAUUUCUAUUUCUAACGUAAGCAGGAGAACGUGCUUUAUAUAAAUAGGAAAACAUAAGAGAAGAAAGAGGAUUCAAGACACGAAGAUUACAAUAGGAGAAGAAGCAGAGACAUAUCAUGUGUUUGUUCAUAAAGGGCAAGAUUGCUUCGUCCUCUUCAAAGAGAGGAAGAAAAAGAAGAAGUGAGUACACAGGAGAUGAUGAUGCACCACGGAAGAGAAUUGAACGAGAAAGCAAAAGAAGAAGAGAAGCAGAGGUGAAUGAGAUACCCAACAACGAUGUGUUAGACGAGAUACAGUACGAGCAUGCACCAGCUUUUGCAAACGGAUGGCUUUAUUGGUUCAGCAAAGAAAAGACUAAUUUGGUUGCUUUUGAUCUUCACAAGGAGGUGUUUGAAAUAGUACCAAAUCCUAUUAUUGAGGUAUCAUCCUCAUCUGUUGAUAUGUUUAUGGAAAGUGUAGAUGAUGACAGUCGUCUUGUGUUGAUGUCAGAGACAGAUGGAGAUGGUAUGCAACACGUUUGGAGGCUCACUAACCACAACACUGGAGGGACAUUAUCGAUAAUGGACAAGAUGUUCUCCUUUGACUUGAACAAAAUUACUUCCACUUGGUUUGGUUCUCAUUACUCUUCCAUCCUCAAACUUAUGGCACUCUCCAAAAAGACAGGUGACACGAUGCUCUCAAGACCCCAUUCCCGAAGUUUCCCUCUAUCUGAACCCCUAAACUUUAGUACUUUCAUUCACAACUGCAUCAUUCCUAAGUCUCCUCCUCCUCGCAUUGACAGUGGUCUUCUUCCUUAUUUCCCAAGUUUUAUCUCUCCCUUUUGAAUUAAAUUCAAGUUGUCUUAGUGGAGAGAAAAGAAAACUAUAUGAGAUGAAAAUGCACAUUUAUGUGCUCUUAAAGCCACUUUGUGUUUUGGCAUCACAUAAUGUAAUUUAGGUACUUUGUUAAACAACUCUCAUUUUUGGUGUAAUGCUCUCAACAAGAAGCUCUCAAGUCUCAUCUUUCUUGAAGAAUCAGUAAAUGUAAUCGGAUAAUUUUGUCCGGCAUUUAGAAUAUAUAUGUCUUUCUGACAUCAAAACCUGUACAAGAUCGUAGCAUACAACAAAAUACACAAGUUUAUAUAUGUUUUUGACAAACCCAUAUAUAUAUUCUCUUGUCAUCUUGGACCUGAUAACUCCAUGGCUUGAACCAGCACAGAGGAAUCGUCUGUAAGAUCUGAAUAACGUUCAGAGGAAGAAAACUCGUUAGGUUUACUAUAACUUCUAUUGGUCUCUGCUCUCUGAGAAGAAGCUUCCCAUUUCUCAACAAGACCAUCGCCUUCAAGCAUUCUCACAACUUCAGACAUCUUGGGACGGUGAACCGGAAGAUACUGUGUACAAAGCAAAGCCACUUGAACCAUCUCUUCAACUUCGAUUCUAUCAUAGUUGCUCUUCAAAUCCUUGUCCACUAUCUGUUCUAGCUUCUUCUCUUGUUGUAGUUUCUUUACCUACAAGUAACCCUAGAAGUGAGUGAUUUUGACCUAAUUGUGUAACAAGAAGAUAAAUAUCUACUAUUUUGCUUCUUACCCAAUCAAGAAUAGCUCCUCUUUGAUUUGCUGCUUUUCCAAACUCAAGAGCUCUCAAUCCAGUAAUCAAUUCGAGAAGAAGAAUCCCGAAACCGAACACAUCUGUCUUCUCUGAAGAUUGUCCUGUUGAGAGAUACUCAGGUGCAAUGUGACCUACUGUUCCUCUCACAGCAGUUGUCACGUGAGACUCCUCAUGAUCCAAAAGCUUAGCUAGCCCGAAAUCUCCGACAACACCUUCACAGUAAUCAUCAAGAAGUAUGUUUGCAGCUUUGACAUCACGGUGAAUGAUCUUCGGAUCACAUUGCUCGUGCAAAUACAGUAACCCUCUUCCUGCUCCUAAUGCUAUUCGCUUUCUUGUGCCCCAAUCCAAUACUGGUUUAGCUGCACGAAUCAUAAACUGUGUCAAUACAUGUAAAGAAAAUGGUAUUAGAGGUGUUUAUAGUUUACCUUUGAGACGAGAAGCAACACUGCCAUUAGACAUGUAAGGAUAAACUAGAAGCCGUUCAGAGGAAGUAGUACAUAAGCCGUAGAGGCGGAGGAGGUUCCGGUGUACCGCUAGGCUUAUCAUUUCAACCUCAGUCUGAAACUGAAUCUCUCCACCGCCAUUAUUUACAUCCUUCAGUCUCUUCACCGCGAUGAUGGUUCCAUCGUGAAGACGACCUUUAUACACAUUCCCAAACCCUCCUUUACCUACUAGAUUCUUGCUGCUGAAGUUACUCGUUGCGGAUUGAAGUUCUUUGAAACUAAACCUCCUUAGGUUCCCUAAGCAUACUUCUUCCUUGUUUUGCUCUGAAGUAAGUCCAAAAUUCACAUACACACGUUGGUCUGAUUUCGCAUUCAAUAGUAUACAGUUCAAAGAUAAAAUUAAAGAAACUUACCAUUAAUGUCAAAGAACAAAACUUGUUUGUUAUGUCUUCUUCUCCACCAAAGAAGAAAACCAAAGCCAAUGAUCAACAAGAAAACACAAGUAAGGCUUAAACCGAAAGCUACCGCGAUUUUACGGUUUUUUGUUCCUCCAUCAGAUGAUUUAUCUAACCAAACAACAACAACAACAAAAAAAACCAUUUUAGCUUUAGAUUCUAUAGAAUUCAAUUUUUUUUAAGACUGAAAAAUAUUUCAGAUUUUACUUACUUUGAGAACUGUUCAAGGUGAUUGACAUUGGCUUAGGUUGAGUCCCAUUACAGUCUUUCUCAGUUCCAGUUGGACAAAUCUGAGGGUUGCCCAUAACACUGCAUUACAAGUAAAAAAAAACUGUUACAUAAAAAACUAUAUAGUAUAUAACUUAGAGUAACGUACAAAAGUGGAUAAAUCUACAAUUACUCUGUUUCUUUCAUAAAACAGAGUAAAAACAGAGCAGACAAAUAUUCUUUCACAGAAAUAGACUUACUUGAAUGUUUUGGCAAGUGAUCUUGGAACUGGUCCACUCAAGUUAUUGUACGAAAAAUCCCUGAAAUAAAUAAUUACGAAUUAUAUAUUAACAUUAUUAUCAUACAUAGAAGAAAAUAAUACAAAGUAAAAAAAAAAAAAAAAAAUCAAAACACAAAAUGAUAUAAAAUAAAAAAGAAUAGAGAAUGUACAAAAAAGUGAGUUGGGUCAUGUUUGCCAAUGAGCUAGGAAUUGUUCCUGUCAGGCUGUUAUUAUUAACCCUCCUGCUCCACAAUUUUCAAUACAAAAACAAUUAUUUCCAUAAAUAUAUAUUUUUAAAUAUAUAUACAUAUAUAUAUGAAUAAAUUGAUAAAAUCUUACAAGUACUGAAGAUUUGUGGAAUGAGAAAGAGUGAUUGGGAUUUGACCAGUGAAGUUAUUGGUAGAGAGAUCAAGUGUUUUGAGUUUCAUCAGUUUCCCAAUCUCAUGAGGGAUAUGUCCUGUUAUGUAAUUGUUCUGCAAUAGCCUGUGUGUCCAAAAGAUAUUAUAGUAAAUAAGAGAUGAUGAAACAAUGUUUUUGAAUUGUUGUAAGAAAACACUUACACAGUCUGAAGAUAUGUUAAGUUGCUAAUACUUGAUGAAAGAGUUCCUGAUAAGUCCUGACUUGGAGCUCCUCUACAUAUACAGAUAAGUAAAAAAAACCUAGUAAGCAUACAUAUAUGUGUGAUUUUGUGUGUGUGUGUGUGUGUGUGAGAGUGCUUACAGGAUUAUGACAAAACCAUCAGAAGAGCAAGUGAUCAUGUUCCAGCUACAUGGAUCAACUGCUGUAUCAUCCCAAUUCAUUAGAACUCCAUGAGGAUCAAUCAGUGAGUUUUUGAUUCCUAUUAAGGCAAGAACUACAAAAAAGGAAACAUGUUUUAGAAAAAGACAGAGAAAGGGAGAAGAUUAUGUUUUGAUGAAAUUUACUUACCCUCAUAAUUUACACCUUUGUCUGUGAGCUCAGCAGAAGUAGAAGAAGAGAGGAAACAGAUAAAGAAGAAGAAGAAGAAGAAGUAGGUAGAAGAGAACAAAGCAUAACUCUUUAUGACUUCUCUUCUUCUCUGCAUCAUCUUUGUCUUAAUCAAAGUUUGUUCUUCUUGCAUCAAGACUUGAGAUUCUUAAUCUCUCCAAGGUGCAGAGUUUUGAGGUUUCUUUCUCUUUUAGUAUAUGGAUAUAUUCUGUUUCCAAUUCCUUGUCUGGAGGUUAAUAGGGAAAAAGAUGAAACAGAGUUUGGAAGUGUAUGUGACUGAGAGUGAAAGAGAGAGAUAGAGAAGUAGAGAAAGGGAAAGAUUUGUCUGCCAAUUAUUAUCUUAUGGUCCUUUAGUGACUGUCAACUCGAAAAGGCCAUAGAGAAAUUUUUGGUAAUGUUGCCUUUGUAUUUGUUUCCAACCAUGUGAAAAAAAAACAUAGUCAGAUAAGGUUUUAUGUAUUUGCCAAUAUACUUAUCAAGUUUUCUAUGAAAAAAAAAAUCUAUAUAUAUAAAUUCUAUAUUUUCUUUUUUUUUUGGCAAAAAAAUUGAUAUUGUAAUGCAUGAAAAUAAUGAUGAAAUAUUACAACGUAAGUAAAUAAGAAAACAAAUAUAUUAUAAAUUUGUAAAAGACGUAUAAUUUGUAACGAUGUAAAAUAAUAUUACAUAUAUAUAUAUAUAUAUAUUAUAAUUUAACUGAUUUCGGUUUUUAAGAGAAAAAAUUACAUCGAUGUAAACUAACUAUUUUAGAAAGAACAAUUUACAUCAAUCUAAAACUAACUAUUUUAGGAUAUUAAUAAUUCAAUUAAAGGAUUAACAUGAAAAUGAAUAGUUACAUUUUGUAAAAUGUUGAAUGCUUCAUAAUCUUUUAUUGGUAAAUGGACAAAUGGUGUGGACUAGUUGACUUACCAACCUCGAUUGUUUACAAAAAGGAUGAUGCUUACCAAAUCGAAUAUGUUCAACAAAAAUCAAUUUAAAUGUUACUCAAUACCCUUAAUACUUACCCUUUAGUCUUGUUUUUUGUAAUUAACAUGGUUAUCUCCAUUAAUCUGGUUCUUCUAUCUAUAUCUAGAGGAUUUUUAUAGACUCAACGUUCUCGGAUCUAUCUUAGCUAGGACGGCAACAAACGAUAAAACAAUAAGAUUUUGUUUUGGGAUAGAAACAAACAUUAUUAUAUGAUCGUAAAAUAUUCAUAUUGGAGGAGCAGGUGAAAAAGUGAAUUCAUGUGGUAAGCACAGCACCAUUAACCUAUAAACAAAACUACUUAAGUAAGUAAGUGGCCUCGAACAAAUACAGUGUGAAAGGCUCAUUUACUCAUAUUUUUUUUGUAUAUAAAUAAAUUAAAAAAUCUAUUUCAAAAACCAAAAAAGGUGUGAAAUUAUUUUGAUGUAACGCAAAAGUGAAAUAAAAUGUGAAUGAAUGAUAUAAGUAAGUGGGACACUCGUUUGUGACGAUGAGAGACACUGUGAGUCUGUGACGAUGGAAUUAUUUUUUCUUUUUCAUUUUUUCGUUUUUUAAUGAAUCGCUUUAAUUCUGCUUUUUAUUCCCACUAAUCACUCUUUACUAUUUAUUAAUAUCUUCAUCACUAUUCAUUAAUUUUAUUACAAUUUUGUUCUUCAUUUAUUCCUAUAUAAAUUCUAAAGUAUUCACUGAAUUCGUUCUAAAGUAUUUUUUUUGUCAACCAUAUUUUAUAAACAGUUUGAUUUAAAAAUAUAUAAACCGUAUAAAAAAAAACUAUAAAGCGUAUCAUGUUCUAUUGCCAAAUGGAUGGGUUUUUUUUUUUUUUUGGUUAUGUCAAAUGAAUAUUUUAAGUGAUGGAAUAUUAUGAGACACUUUAACCAAAAAAAAAGAUUAGCAGGGUUAAGAAUUAUUAAGAAAAUAAUGAGAUGAAUAACACAUAUGAUCGAAAUGAAGAUAAAAUGAGAAAAGUCCAAAACUCGAAAUGCCAAAAGAAGAACCAAUGAUUGACAGCUUAAAAUUUGGUCCAACAUUAAAGAGAAAUAUUAGAAGAAAAAAAAUAAAAUAUAUGAAAAUAACUUACUUAAUGACAUAAUAGUUAAUAGUUUUACUUUAGAAAAUAUCAUUUACUAUGGUUUCUUUAAGAUAAUAUAACACUUAUAUCGGUGUGUGUAUUUUGAUUAUUUUACAUGAGUCUAGCUUAAACUCACUAGUUACUACUUACUACUACACAAUGAAAAGUUGAAGUUGAGCCAAAAAAAAAAAUGAUUGAUAAGUAAAUUAUUGAAGGGAGCAACUAAUCCAAUAUUCCAAGCUCAACAAUGAUUUAAUUAAUUAGAUAAAAGAGAGAAAGUAUAAACUUUAAAUUAAUUAAAAACACUAAAAAUCAAAUCUUUGGAUCUAAACACACAGUAAUAGUCAACAGACAAAUGCCACUUUUGAAAGCACAAAAGCAAAGUCUGCUUUAUAAAGCAAAAGCUGUUCUCCUCUCUUAUCUUUCAUCAUUACACUAAUUUCUCAGUGCAUUUCACUGAUUUCACUUACAAUUAUUAUUUUGUUGCGAUAAUGUUUUGCAAAGAAAAAAAGAAAAAAAAAAAACUGAAAAGACGAACAUGUAAUAUGUCAUGAUUUGUAUGUCGUGUGCAUGGAUACAUAUAUACACGUGUGAUAUACACUAUUCUCUUCUGUUUUAGCAUUACCAAAAUGUUCAUUUUCUUCUUCUUCAUCAUCAGUUUCUUUGACUAUACAUCACAUAAACUUGCAACCGCAUUGUAACAUUUUGUGUUUGAAUUUUUGUUUAUGGAUAUAAGUUUGAAUCUCUGACAGUUAAAAAACACACACACUAGUGACUGAUUGGUAUUAGUUAUGAUUGGUUGAUUAUAUUGUUGUAGUUAUGUGGUCUAGGGUUUGAAAUCUAAUGAUGAAAAAUAGUAUCAUUAUAAAGUUUUUUUCUUACGUGAAAAUGGUUAGUACUAUAUAAAGUAUGUUCUUGUUUAUGUCAUGUCAUCCCUCAUUGUGUCCUAAUUUUUCUACCAAAUGAGAUGAAACAUGAAAUAAUUUAUGGUUUCAUCUAUAGCAUAAGCAAAAGGAAAAAAACAAAAAAAGAAUUGCGUAUGAGAACACUAAUAAUUUCUUAUAAUAUUUGUAUUCUUAUUUCUUUUAUUUGAAAAAGAAAGAUAUAUAUUCGUAAUAUAUAUCUUAAGAAUUGAUUCGUGACAUUGUAAAGGACGUUGAGGUGUUGUUGCAAUUGUAAUCUAGUUCUUGGAUAUGUCUGGUUUUUAAUUAUAUAUAGCAUUGUAAGUAAAAUAAAACUCAAAUAACCUUACAAAUUAUCUAUAAACGAUUGAAUUAUUUGUACGUUUUAUUGAGAGAGAUGUAAAAAAGUAAAACCCCACUUGUGUCUCUUCAAUCAUAUAAUGUUCUUCACUUGUUGUUCAUUUCAUUACACUCACCUUUUUUGUUACCCUACCUUUAUUUGCUUAUGAUAUAUAAUCAAUGAACCUGAUCUUGCAUGUAGCUGUUGGGAAAACAUCCGGUGAAUAGAUAUCUCUUGACCACUCUUAGAUAUCUUAUUAGCAUAAACCAUUGAGAGACCAAACCAAGUGCUUUUUGAUGUUAAUCCUAGCGUAGACAGUUGAGUGAGUACCAUUCAUACGCAUUGUAGCUGGACUUGUUAGUGUUUUGGUAUAUAUGACUAAGCAAUAAGUUAUGUCGACCAAGAGCCAUAAGCUAGUUUUGGUUUCAGAUUGCCUCAAUUGUAACCAACACAAGAGGAAGAAAGAAAAAAUCAAGAAAAGGUAGAAUAAGUUCGUCUCUAAAAGUUGGAUGCACGAAAGCAAUUAGGACAACUCAAUACAACCUCAAAUUUAUUUUUCUUGAUUUUGUUUUAUAUAGUGCUUAUAUUUGAUGGUUACAUAUUUUAGACUAUGAUUAGUACUUGUUUAAUAUGUUAAUAGACUAAAGAUUCAACUUGGUUUAAACAUACUGUUUAGUACAACGGUAAUUUGUACUUGGUGGGUUUGGAUUAGACUAUAAUUAGUAGUCAACAAAACUAUUCGUUCAAUUAACGUAAUGACUCUUAAACUAGAAAAAAAAAAAUUAGGCCCAAAAUAAAUAAUUUUACGUUCAAGAAAAAUGAUCAAGAUUUGUAAAACACUAUUGGACCAAGUAGAAAGGGUAUUCGAACUUUAAAUUUCAAUGAAAAUUGAAAACAUUGUGAUUUAUUUUAAAAAGAUGUAGAAACAAAACAAAAAAAAAGACCAAAGUUUAAUUCACAUCCGAUUACAAUUUUUAAAAAAUAUAUAUAUUGAGAGAAAGAAAAAACCACAGAACAAACCAAAAGACUAUUUCAUAUUAUCGACAUUUAAAAUGGCCCCCCUAAAGAUCCUUCAGGUUAAUAGAAAAUGAAACUGAUGCAUGCAUCAAAUAUAUUUCAGUGUCAUAUCAUUGAUAAAAGUUGUGUCUGCCCAAAACCAAUUCGACAUAUAAACUUUAGUAUGAUUGUAUUACUCAAAAUCAAGAAAUGUCAUUUUCUUUUACUUUGUGUAUACAUCAACUACCAUCUUGUCACUAAACUUCAUAAUUGAUAUAUUGAGCAAUAGAUGGCAUCUUUCUUAAAUAUUAAAAACUAAAAGCCCACAAGACUAAAAGAUAUAUUCAAAGCUCAAACACAACAAAGCAUUUAACUUAUUAACUUCCUGGUGCAGCAACCAGAGAACAUAACAAUUACAAACUUUAAAACACACAAACAUAGACAAGAACUGCUUUCAUCAGAACGCAUAACAUGUUCUAUCUUAUUUCAAAAAAAAUAAUACAAAAGAUCCUUAGAAAGAUAAGCUGCAAAGCCAGAGAUAGAUGAUCAUAGAUCACUCUUCUUCUUUAACAACUUCUUCCUCUUUCCAACAGAACCCAAGAGUAGAUUUUGGUGAGCCAGGUUCAAUAGUCUUGACAAAUUUCUGGUAAAGAACAGAACCUCCAAGUCCAAGCUCCUCUAGUCCUCUCUCUUGUCUCAAGUAUCCCUUCGUAUCAACUACACAAUCACUCGCCACUAGCUCGGUUCCAAGAUUAGCAUGCACCGCUAAUGAGAAUUCUUUUGGUCCAAAACAAACCAGAACCCUAUCCACCAACUCCUUAAAGUUCAAAGCUUUUAGAUCAUACCCAACUGUUUCAAAGCUUGCAUAGCUAAAACCAUCUCCCGGGGUCACGUGGAUGGUGGAAACCGCAUCUUCUUCAAUUGAAUUCAUCGAAUAACCGCACGGUUCAAAGUCAAAAUCACAGAUUUCAGAGUCAGUAAGGAUGUUUCUAAUCCCUGAGGUAACAGUCAUCUCAGAAGCUGAAACUGAAUUUUUUUUUAAGAACACCAAAGCUUUCUUCUUGUCUAGACCAGUCAUGCACAUCUCCAAUGUGUACACAGGUUUGUCACAAACCAAAGCAGAUUCAUAAGCAGCGGAAGCAGAGUAGACAUGCCAUCCAUGAGUGUUAUUGUUAUCUGACCCUCCCAUCACAAAAGCUUUGCUUCCUGCGUUGAGCUUACCAAAAUAGCCAUCAAGUAAAGCAACUUCCUCAGAGAAGCUACGGUGAGGGUAAGAUUGUGCUCCCGGGAAGAUAAAACUACCACGAGUGUAGCGAACAGAUUUGACUGUAAUAGAAAGAGACUCAGCCAGCCUAAGGAUGUGCGGGAUAGAAAAGAGAAGCUUUGUAGUCCCACAUGUUUUGAUGAUGAUCUUGUAAGGAUAGACAAAGAGACUAGACUCAGAGAGAACGUAAGAGUCGACUAAAGAGUUUGAAAGCGAUGAAACAAUCGUGCACUCAGCUGGAGUCAAGAUCUCAUCUAACUGAGAUUUAGUAAGAGCACGAAGACCCUUUCCCUCAGGAUCAAGAAAGACACUAGGCUCAAAGAAUGAAAUUUCGAGCCUUUUCUCAAAUCCUUCGAAACCGAUAGCAGAGAUUGCCAUUUUUCAAGAACACGAAUGUAAAGAGGAAGAAUAUACUGUCGAAGAAUGAGAUUUGAAAGAUAACAAGAAAUAGGAAAGAUCGCACAAGCUAGAAGAACGAUGAUCAACCACAGUUAUGAAGUGGUUAGGAGGAAAACGAAUUGAGCAAUUUCAGGAUGGUUUGCGAGUGAUCUGCAUAAGAAAAAACCAAACAAACAAGCAAAUACAUAUGAGUUAAACUUGUAUAAGAAUCAAUACAACAUCUUCUUCUUCAAGUCCAGACAUUGAAAACAGAGAAGUAAACUCACGUUUGAGUAAGCAGCAGAUCUGAAUUUCUUAAUACCACCGUUUGGUCGAACGUCUUCAAUGAUGUAUCCAAGAGGAGCUUCGUAGAAAAGAUUGCUACUACUACUACUACUACUACUACUAGAGUUCUCUGUACCACCUUCAGUCUCCAUAUCUCAUUCACCUGUCAAUGAAUCAUGUAAAGAAGAGAGCAAAUUAAAAACCAGAACUUUGUUUCAGAGUAAGGCCAAACUCAGAUCGAAACAAUUUCAAAGGCCUCAAAACUCUAAAACGAGACUAAAUCAUAUCGAAAGGAUCAGACUUGCUUUCAUAAGUAAUCAAAUUCUAACAAAAACCCUAAUAAAAAUCUGAAUCGAAGCAUAAAGGUGGAACCUUUAGAAUCAUUUGAACAAACCCUAAACUCAAAAAAGGCGAUUCAUAGAAGAAAGAUACUUACAAUUCAAGAAAAGAUUUGUUUUAAGUUAACAAACCAACCAAUCUGAUCAAACCCUUAAGAGCCAAUAAAUCCUUGAAACCUGUAAACGACGAUACAAACACACAGACAACAGCAUAAGUAACCAUCGAACUCGAGAGAAUUAGAAAUCAAAAGAAACAAUAAACAGAGAUUUACCCAAAUUAGAUCGAAACAAGAAGCAAAAAUUUGUCUUUUUCGAAGUAAGAGAUUUUGUGAGUACGGAACAAAGGGGUUUUGAAUUUAUAGUCAAAGGCUUUUGGUAUGAAAUUAUAUAUUUACCCCUGAAGGAUGGCGACGAUUUAAAUUUAAUGUAACGUAAAUCUUCCGUAUAAACGUUACAUUGCCAAAGUAAGAGAAAAUUCAUUUACGCAAUAAAUAUGGAUUUUUAUAUUUAAUUAUUUUUCUUAAAUGGAAACCAAAUACUAUAUGAUAUAUCUAAUGUCAAAUUAUUAUUUUCAAUAAUUAUGGAUUUUUUUUUUAUUAUAUGAUAUAAAAUGUAAUGGUGAUGCAUCGUGUACAUUUAUGUUUGUGCAGCUUAUUAAAAUCAAUUUUAUGAGUUUAUUGGCUCCAUCGAUGAUAUAUAUAAUCCAAGGAUAUAUAUAUCAAUUUUAUGAGUCUAUUGGCUAAUAAUUUCACGAACCAAGGAUAUGUAUGUACCAAACAAGAUUUAUCAUGGGUUAUUUGAUUUACUAUUUAUUUAUUUCGUUAACUUAAUCUAUAUCCUCAAAUUUACAGAAAGCCCAUGACUCAUAAAUAGUUUGUGAGGAAGUGCGUAUCUCACGAAUUUAGUUUUGGCUAAAAAUGCUAAGUUUUCAUUUUUUACAUUUUUAAGAGUUAAUAUUAAUUUUGUUAUAAAAAACUUGGUUUCAAAAUUAGCUAUGUAUUAACAGAAUAAUGAUAUAUAUAUACAUGUCAAAUAUAUUAAUUAGAUGUUGACAUGUGUCUUAAAGUUAGUUUUUUUUUAACUUAGUAAAAAAACUAAUUAAGAAAAAAUAGAAUAUCUACAGAUAAAAAUUACAUGUUUAUGUCUACAUCUAAAUUUUUUCAUUCUCCUAAAAAUAUAACAACCCCAAAUAUAUACCAAAAUCAAACUUUAUGUAAUAAGAAAUUGGAAUACAAUAAUGUCUUUUAAAUAAUUUAAAAACUGUGUGUUUUUUGUGUAAUUAGUUUUUUUUUCUCUCUCUUAGGAAUGAAUCAAAAUACAAUAAUGUGUUACUCAUUCUAUGUAAUUAGUUUGUAAAGUAUCAAAAUGAUCAAAAUUACAACUUAUAUCAAAAUAUAAUAAUGGAGAUUAACUCAAUGCUUAUACCAAAAUGAUCAAUGCUUAUACUAACUACAAACCCUUAAAAAUGCUACCUUUAUGCAAAAGCAACACAUUUCAGCAUUACAAACCAUCAAGAGACAAAAAAUAAUUCAAACUUAAAAAAAAAAACUCUAAAUCUAUUAUACCUAGACAUGAAUCAAGACCUAAACAAAAAAAAAAUUGAAUAUUUAAGCUCAGAAUAUCCAGAUAAUCCAAACUUAUUCACAAUAAAUUAUUCAAACAAUUAUACCAAAAAAAAGUUGAAAACUUUCUUUUUUACUUCGCUCAUCUACCGUCACUUCUUUGAUUUUCUUAUCUCGUCUAGGUAGACAACCUUGUACCCCAAAAACGUCAACCCAAUUAGCCAAGCGGGUGUUAGCUUUGCAAACAAUUGCAGUCUCUCGAAUAUAAAACAAUAAUUAUGAACUUUCUUUAAAGAAAAAAGGAUUCUAUUUUGUUAAGCUAACUAAUAUAUAGUUUCACAUCAUUUAACUAUAUAUUGGUUAAUAUUUAAAAUUAACAAAAAAAAUUAGUAAAAUAAUAAAUAACAUCAACAAAAAUUUGGGGAAAAAUAUAAAAUCUAUAUUUAUGAUAAAACUACACAUAUAUAUAUAUAUAUAUAUAUGAAUUUUUGCAUAUACAAUAUAAGAAAUCUCAAAAAUAUUUUAUAUUAUAGUACUAAAUAUAUAUAUAUACUGAAAAGAUUCCAGCAUUCCAGUUAGAAAGAAAAAAAUGAAAACAACUAUAAGAAAAUACAUAUUGAAGACUUUUUUUCAGAUAAUAUCAUUGCAAUUAAACAGGUGAAAAGAUUCCAGUAUUCCACAUAGAGAAAUUAAAGAGCUUCUUAUUUUUUGUUUUUUGUACGGAAAUAAUAAAGCAAAAGCCUAUGUCAUAAGUAGAAGGGAUUUAACACCGAUCGAAAAAAACUGCAAGGAAAAAAAAAGGGAAAAUCCAGUAAAAUCAAUCCAAAAUAAAUUAAAGUUGUGUUUUUCCAAUGUUAAUUAGUUCAUAAUAUAAUUGUAAAGCACGUAACAUGAAAGUUAUCACGUUUUAAUAUGUUAAAAAUUAGACCAAAAAGUAUAAUUACCAUUCGAGAAUGUGUGAUCUCCAAGUUUUAGUUAGGGUUUUUUUGUUUGAGUAACCUCCAAGUUAUAAGACUUUGUAUAAAAAGCAUAGCUUCGUUCAUAUUGUUUCAAAACUUACGAGCAAGUUUGAAGUUUCUAUUCAUCAAAUUCUUAUAUCGGAUCUCUCUCUCUCUCAAUCUCAAUCUCAAUCAUCAUGAUGAAACAGUACUUGUCCAAGGCCACCGAGUUCUUGAACACUCCAGUGAGCAGAGCUGGCGCUCUUGGUACAGCAGCCAUCGCACUUGCGGUUGCGAAGCGUGACUAUCUCAUGGAGUUAGCAACGAAGAAGAAGACGGAGAACAACCCUAAGGAGGUAACGACGGCGUUGAAGGAGAACGUGGACGUUAAGGUGGAGAAGAAUGAACAGUCGAACACUGAAUCUAAGGAGAAGUCGGAGACGACGACCUUGAAGGAGAACGCUGUUCAAUAGAUCCUUAAUUUUGGUGUUUAAUUUUUUUUUAUAGUUUUGAUCAGUUUGUGUUUUUCUUUUUCUUAACAUCGGGUGCUAAUGAUGUUUAGUUUCUUAACUUUUAUUAAUAACUCGUUUUUUUAAGAAGUUUUUUUCUUUGUUUUUGAUUCUAAACAAUGAGACAAAUCAACAAAAAGUGUUAGAGACUACUCAACAAAAAGUAUCUCGACGAUUCUAUUUGAGAAUUUUGAGAGUUAUGCGAUUAUACGAAUGUUAAU